rnacentral:lncRNA from 1 species
AAAUAUGCAACCUUCCAAGGGGCUAAUUAUUUUUUAAUAUUCUUGUCACAUGCUCUUGUAUAGUGUGGUGGAUAGGUUUACCCCCAAUUUCCUGUUUUGGGAGAUACGUAAAAUAGAGAUAGGAUUAGAGAGAAAUAUCGAACACUGCACCUAUUGCAUAAUAGUUAGAACCAGAAGAUUUUUAUCAUGCUGAGCUGACUUCUCCGUGUUUUUCCUAUAGGCCGAAAAGCAGAUUGAGAUGUACACCAAACAAGGCUUCUCCAGCCUCCCGAUAUGCAUGGCGAAAACACAGUACUCCUUUUCGCAUGUUCCAUCCAUGAAGGGCGCGCCAUCUGGUUUUGUACUGCCGAUAAGAGAUGUGAGGGCCAGCAUUGGAGCCGGUUUCAUCUACCCGCUCGUUGGCACCAUGAGUACAAUGCCAGGUCUUCCUACAAGGCCCUGCUUCUAUGAAAUUGACAUCGACACAGCCACUGGGAAAGUCAUGGGUCUGUCAUGAGGUGUGCCCGCACCAUUAUCUGGACUGGGUUGUGCUGUUGCGAAAUUAGCUGUGUGCAGUUACAGUUUUGGGGACAGUUCUGGAGCGGAAUAAAUAAAAAGCCUAGUUGGCUUCCUGCGAUAGUGGGAAUGCUCUGUAACUUGAUGUCUGUAAAUUUGGUUGAACCUUACCCGAUUAAACUCUUGUUCCUGAUUUGUGCCCCAUGCUUGAUGGCUUAGCUUUCUGCACUUUAGUAUUUGACAGCGUUUCGGUUUUUGUACAUUCCGAUUCUUGCCGUCCUUGCAUGGUAGUUUUUGUUCUGAAUUUUCUUCGCAUUCCUUGACAUAAUGAUGGACUGGGUAGCUGCAAGUGGUGGCAAAUCAAAUAUGAAUUGGGCUGCUCCGCCCAGGCACGUUGGGCCGCAUCAGACGACAACAAAGAAAUGUCGCGCUACCCCUAGAAAGUAGAAACUAGAACGACAGAAGCUUCUAAAAAAAAAACUAGAAUGACAGAAAUGUCGCGACCCCCUCAAAUGUCGCGUUUUCUCAAAAUACACUGGGUGUUAAGUGGGAAAAAAUAGUUUUUUUUUAAAACACACACAAGAUUACAAGACGGAAAGAGCAAAGUCAAUGGCCGAGUCGACUACGUCAAACAAGAGCCACAAGAUACAUUUGGAAAUCGUCAGAGAGUCAAAGACCUCGCGGAUGGGGCGACGCCAGGCGCCCGACAUUGACAUGGUGGCUCACAGGCCGCCUGUUUCCUCGAAGGACACCGGUUCGCUUUCAUCGGUCAUGUACGCUCUCGAUCACUUCACUAGUCAAACGGGACGAAAUUGCUGGCUUCAUGGUAGCAACAGGUAACCGUUCACGACUUGGUCAGGCAUGCAUGCUAUUUGGCGAGCGCCAGCCCAGCGCCCAGUGUUAUGCUUGGCUCUGAAUUUGUUUGCACACGGAUGAGUCCGGCGUACUUCGCAGUAACAGCAUCAGUGUGCAAACAUCUCGUGCGCGGAGAUCAUUGCUUGGAUGUGAUGUGAGCGAUGUGAUCUUGGGGUACACUUUUAUAGUUUCUAGUGUGCUAAUGCGCCGGACCUACCAUAAUGCUGUGCGUUGCCGGCAGGGGCACGAGAUGGGCCAAAAGGUUUGCCUUCGCGGUCGGCAUUUUUCAGUGCAUGCCUAUGAGUGGAUGCUGGAUGCGUGGAGGAUGCCUUUACUAGUGCUGGAACUAGCUUCCUUUCUCUGUAAUCUCCAAUCCUGCCAAUCUGAAUGUUCUUGGUACGCCGUAGCAGGGUACUACGUCGUUGCAUAUGAACUCGGCGCAAAAUGACCCACGUCACGGUCUGGCUCUUUCUGUCCAAAGUUGGACUUCCGGGAGAUCUAGAAAUAGCGUUUCCUUAAACCUGACAAAACAUGUGUUUUUUUAAUCUUUCUUAAGCUCCCGCCAUCAUAAAGUCACGUACUCGGUACUCGCCGUCUGACUUCCCGUGAUUCGUAUUUCAACGCCUGUACAGUGACCAGUGAAAGAAACGCAUCUGUAAAGUUGGAUGCAGGAAUUGACCUCAGGAACAAGUCUCCAAAUAGGCCCAGAAGGAAACAACCUAGCAUGAACCGUGACUGCACGAUCCGGAGGAUUACACUUGACCAGUAAUAGACUAAGUUCUACCAACACACACCUUUUGGUCUUAAAACAAUUUCAUCUAUCGACGCUCCGUAGUUUAUUCGGGGCCAGAUCAUCCAAAGAUUGGGAUUUGUAUGCGUGGCUGGGUAACAUAUAUCGACUGUCCUUUUCUGAAGGCAUGCGUGGCUGGGUAACUUAAUACGUGUCGCAUGUUUAGUAACGUCGAGUAAUAUGGGUCGAUCCCAUAUGGGUCGGAGGGACCAGAUGAAGCCGCACACUUCCUUUGCAUGUAGUACGUCCUAAGUCCAUGGCACGUGACACGAGAGAAAAUUCAAACACAAACGAGAAGCGGACAACACGUCGAACUCGACGUUAAUCUGCGCUCCUUGCUUACAGACGAUCAUCAAAUGUCCUAAUUAAAUUGCCGGGCCACCAAUAUACAAGUAGCUCAAUCCGGCGACCAUAGAUGAACACCCCAAUCACAUCAACACCAAGUGUUUGCCCCACACCCAAGCAUAUAUGAAACAUCAGGGCUAGGUGGAGAGCUCACUCAGUCCCGGUACGAGACAACAACCCCGACGUGCAAAGGGGGGCUCAUCAUGCUGCAUGUGCUCCGAACCCGGCCCGAUCGAUAGCCAGCUGCCGGAAGGAGGCAGCGGCAAGUGGCCCGAGAUGGACAGGAGGCGCCAACCAGGGAACAUCGCAGAGGACACCAUGCAAACUCCACAAUCAGUUUGCCCCCUCCUUUCGCCGAUCGUGAGGGUUUCCUCUGUACAGCGACGUACGGUUCCUGAUCAGUGCUGGGUGAUGUCCCUCAGCUCGACGCCUCGACCAGUUCUGUUACGGGCAGGCUCGAUCUUGCUAGUCUUUGCUACCUUCCCUUCCAUCGUAAGCUGUCUCAUGUGUGUGUAAUUUGUUUUCAAGAAUGGUCCAACUUUUUUCUUAAAACUUUGUCAGUUACAGACUAAUAGGGAUACAAUCUUUGAGCAGCCAGCAGCUCGUCUACGCAGAAAAGGGCAGCAACCGGGAGACGGCCAAACAGCAUUUGACCAUGCACGCCACGUCACCAUCACUCACCAGAACAGAAUAACUACAUUUCGAUCAAGAUUGGCCGGCGCAGCCGCGCGCGCAUCGCUGCUGAAUCUUCAAUCCCGCGAUCAGUCGAAGUAAAAGAUCCAUCAAGAACUUGCAGGAUAUUCGGCUUUCUGAGGUACGACUCCUAGUCCACGCAUGACCGCUCGCUUCAGUUAACCCCGGUCGUAACAAACAUAAAUCAGGGCCGUCAUGAAGGUCUCGGCCUCCUUGACUGGAGUAACCGGUGCUACUUACUGGUUGGUCGGCGCGCCCCGGCCCGGAGCGUUUACAACCGGCAUUGAUGGGGAGCAUGAGUCAAGAAGCCGUGAUCCCGGGAGAAAGAUUUCGGGGGUAUCCAUGACCUGGGCCUCGUGGUGCGCGGUGGACUCAUCCAUCUUCUGGAAUCUGGAGUUAAAUGAUUCCGUCUUCACUGCGAGUCGUGGAACGGACUAUGCAUUCAUUCAUCGCUCGCCUCCCUCUUUGUCACGAGGGACAUGGACUGCGAUGCUGACCCGCGAUUCGUAUCUUGGUUCGUUCUUCUAGCGGAGAAAUCGUAACCAAAAUCAUUUUACACCCAAAUCGGAAUAAUAAUAACCAAAAAGCUGUAGCGCAGCCUAGCGUAGCGUAGGAACCAUCUUUUUCUCCUUGAACAAAGGUGAAAAAGACUUCUACUCUCACGUCAUUGAGAGAACACAAUGAAACAUUACUACACAAUAUGUUGUCUUCUAGUUAUCAUACCGUCGUACGAUUAAUACUUGAAUGGGAAAAAUUAACUAAAUGAAUAUGGAAAUGCGAAAUCUAGUACAAUGAAAAAGUCGUCUUUUGCGGAAAAAAAAAACUGGUCUUUCGUGUGAUUCCGUCUUGGGUCGCGGCGAGGAAGGCUGCGGCAUUCCGGCGGCGGUGCUUCGGCGACGUGCGGCCCACUGCCUCCUGUGUGCAGUGCACCCGGAAGUACAAAUGCACUGCAUCGGGCACGGGAAAAAAAAAUCUGCGCGGUGAGACAGGGAAAUGGUUGGUUUGAGGUGGAAAACAGAGGGUUGCAUAAUAGCAAAAAUUAAUAUACUACAUAGUAUAUUCCAUUAUUAAAUUUAUUAUUUAUGGUACAAUUAAAUAAUAUUGUUGGUACACAGUGAUUGAUUGCACCGCUUUAUAAUCUAGUUUAUCUUAAUAUAUGGGGUAUUUAAUCAAUGAAAUAAUAUUUAUUUUUAUAUAUUGAAAUUAAGUUUGCUAUCUAAAUGGGGGCGUGCACGAAACAAUAAGAACAUCGGAGUGAACCUACCUAGUUUCUUCCGAUACGAGGACCACCAAAGUGUUUCUUCACAGGUCCUGUUGUGUAUUGUGGGUGCUAGACAGGCAACGAUCACGGUCGGUGCUAUACAAUUUUAGUGCAUGCGCACGCUACCGUUUGUAGGAGCAGCUUGUAUUUUGUCUCAAUGCCCCAAAACAAUUUCAAUACAGAAAAAUCUUGUACGGAAUACUGACCGAGUAUCUACGCUCUUUUUAGUACUCUGGGAAGAGUUAAGUGCCCGUAUCCAUCUCACAAAGAAGAAAAUAAAAGAGUGCGAGUGUCAGUUAAGACCACAGAGUACUCCUGCACCAAUACUCGAUGGGCGGAUGGAGUCAUGAUUUCACAAAUCAGCGGUGCAGGCUCCCAACAGCAUCGCGGUAAGGGAACAGCGUCGCCGCAGUACUACCAACACAGCUUUCAGCUUACCAAAAGUGAAACCAGCUGUAAUUUUCACCCCGUCGCGGAACAACCACAAAUCAUCUGAACACAAUUUUGUUUGGAAGGCACGGGGAUUAAGGUUAAUAAACUCUAUUGCAACAUUUUAUCCUUUUAGCAUCCGGGAACGUCCACGUAUCCAAUCCCACGACAGACGCCCUACUACUUGGGGUUCUUCCCAUUUCUCGCAAACCACUUGGCAAAGCCACAAAAAAUCCCAAAGAACCAGAGGAGCGAGGAGAUUGAACAUGGAAAAAAAAAACAGGUGAGCGUAUUUACAACCAGGCCCUUCGCCGGAGGUGAAGACUUGACGACGAAGUCAGGAGCUCGACGGCGCCGGCGCCGGCGCUUGCGUGAAGCUUCGUGCCGACGAGAACAGCGCGGCGAACGAUGACGGCGGCCUGUGUUCCGGCGCGGCGGCCGCAAUGCCGCCGGCGGCGGCGGAGGCCGGGGCGGAGUUGGAGGCGACGCGCUCGCAGGACGGGCACAUGGAGAGGGUGGUCGCCGGGAGAUGCAUGUAGAAAGGGUGCACCGUCUUGAGCGCGCGCAGCUCGGCCAGCUCCUUCUGCAGCCGCCGGUUCUCCUCGGUGAGCGUCUCGCAGCACCGCUUCAGGUACUCGCAGUCCACCUCCGUCUGCUUCAGCUUCGUCCUGCACGUGCCAAAACAAAGGCAAAAACACUUAGAAAACGAAGAAUAUUUUCCCCUUUCAAAAGACUCUAAGGAUAGUAAGUGAGACAAUCUUUCGAGGAGCAAGCGUGGGCACCUUGCUCUGCGGUUCUGGAACCACACCUCCACUUGGCGCGGCAGGAGAUUGAGCUGCUUCGCCAGCGCCACCUUCUGCUUCUGCUCGCGACAGACAGAGUCACGGGAACGAACACACAAACGUCAAGGGACACCAAACAAAUCAAACAUCUCUUAAUUUCCGCGUGUGUUGGUUGUUCUGCUAUGUGGACGCUUACGGGGUUCAGGGUGCUGUGCUCCUUGAAGCUCUCCUCGAGGAACGCGGCCUGCUCCUUGGAGAGGCGCAACUUCUUGCGCGACGAGCCGCCGUCGUCCUCGUCGCUGCCGCCGCGCGAGCCGCCGCCGCCGCCGCCGCCCGGGGCACCAUCGCCGCCCUGCGCGCAGAAGUCCAUCGGGAAGGAUCCCCCGCUGUUGUUGGGCGAGGAAGACACGGCCGCGCCCGCCACCGCCGCCGUGUCCUCCUGCUCUUCUUCCUCCGCCGCGCAUGCCCAUGCCGAUCCCCCGGUCGACGGCGCCUGGUUCACGUCGAAGCCCCGCGGCGUCGACGCCUCCAAAUGCCCUGCGAAUUCAACAGAUCGGAUCGCCCCCAAUUAAAUACUGCUAUUUCACUGGCGAUCUCAUGCACAAAUCUGUAUAAUAAACAAAGAGAAAAAUCUCAUGCAUCACUCACUGCUCUCGGACGGCCACGGGAAGCCGAGGCUGGGCACCAGGGGCAGAAGCGCGAGCCGCAUCGUCGUCGGCUCCGGCGAAGAACCGCACCCCAUCGCCCCUAACCCCAGGUCCCUCCUCGCGCCGGCGACGACCUCCUGGUCCCUCCUCCCCCUUCCAGUCUCCUCCUCCCUCCUCUCCCCCGCCCCGACCCCAAGCCCGAGGACCAGCUCCCUCCCGGCAUCCGCCAUGGUCUCCCCCAAGCUCAGGCCCAGCUCCAUCAGACCAGAUCAGAGCCGUGCCUACCAAGAAGACGAUCGAUGGGAAUGGGGCCGUGUAAACGCCGCAAGGAUUUUCCGAGGUUUUAUAGGAGCGGGGAUAGAGACGGGACUCCUCUCUCGUCUCCUCUUCCCUCCGGUUCGUAUGUGUGAGAUAUAAUGGCGAGUUUGACCAGUUGACGAGCCCCCGCACGUGACCCGGGAAAAAAGGAGCGCGACGUGGUCAAUGCAAUUCGCGUGUUCGCGGGGGUGCUUUGUGGCAAAACGGCUUGGGAGGAGAGGAACUGGAUGGCAGGCGGUAAUAAUGAUCUUAAUCAUUAUCGGGGGCUCUACGUAUCUUUCCCCUUUUAUAAACAGCACCCGCGAUCUUUAUCAGAAAGCUGGAGACGCAGCAGCAGCUGCUGGCUACUACUCCUGCUGCUCCUCAGCUCCUGCAUGCCUCUCCGCUCUCCCCACACGGUUGCCAGAUUCUUUAUGAUGGAAUUUAUGUCUCAGGGUCGUGUGCGUUGGACUGAACUGUACAUUUGUGUAUCUUUGCUCGUAGGAUGCACUGCAAAACAAAAAUUUGGAGUCGACCUAGUGUUGUUGCACGAUGAGACAGAAAGUUUUUCUUUUCCUUUUUUUCAGGGAAGAUGAGACAAGCAUUGCGUCGCGUCGCGUCGCGCUGCUACAAUUAGUAGUAGUAACUCCUAUUUAACGAGGGGUAUUUCUUUGCUUUUAUGGUAUGGUCACAAAUCAUGGCGCAUAACUGCCAUGAAUAAUAGCACUAUCAAUUUGCAAGAGUUGCCCAAACAGGCGAAAUGAUUGAAUCUCCAGUACGUACGUACAGCAGUACUCCGUAGAAUAUUGUGUGUUUCUAUGAUCUCUUCUCCCGUUGGCCUGCAUGGAAGUUCAUGAUGGUAAUUAAUUAGUCCCCAUAAUUGCAUGGAGUAGUAGUACGUGGGGAAAACGAUACUAUCUACUCCGCAAAAGACCGUACGUCUGGCUCGCGUUUGUCCGCGAAAGACCGUAUGUCUGACGAUGGAAUUUUUCAUUCACCCCCCCACCCGGUUGCCUCGGAUUCAGUUUCCCCCGACGACCCGCCCCAACCCCAAAUCCCCAUCUUCUCCACCAACUUCCUCCCUUCCCGAUCCAAAUCGCAGAUUCCCGUCGCAGCAGCCUCCAAUCGAAGCCCGUCGCCGUCGUCCCGGAGUAAUGGCAGCCGGUCCUUAUAAGCUGCCGGGAAGCCCCUCGUGCAUCCCACGGAGUCAUCAAUGGCGGGGGGAGGAGCAAGCGGAGGAGCAGGCGGAGGCGCCGAUCCGUUAGCCAGGGCCAUCGCGGGCCCCGCGGCGGCCAGCGGCGCAGCACGCGGCCGCGGAUCUGGAGGCCCCGUCCGUGCUCGUGCCUCCAGGCCAGCUCGUCCGCCUAUGUUCCUGCCGCGGAGGAUCUUUCAGCGGAGGCAACGCGGGGCCAAGCUCGUAGACCUAGACGAAGACGAGGAUGGCGGUGGCGCUGCAGUAGCCGGCGAUGGCGGCGACGGUGCUGUAGCCGGCGAUGGCGCCGGUCAAGUUGUUGUGCAGGACGGCAUGUCCGCUGGCGCUGGGCAUGUCACCGAGAAAUCCUGCAAGUGGCGAGUAAGCUCAUCAUAUGAACGCAUGAUCUGUUGGAUGAUUUGCUGGAUGUUGCGUGUAUUCUCUAUGAAUCAGUCUUGCUCGUUCUUUUAUGGAAUAAAGUGGUGAUUUACCUUUCGUUUAUAAAGCUAUUUUGGGUGCACAGAUACAUGUUGGUGCACAAUUUGGUGGGGAAUGCUUUUUUCUUUUUCUUGAGAGAUGUUGAUGCAUGUUGUACUAAAUAAGAUUGAGGAAAAUGUUGUUCUUAUAACCAGACACAACUAGCAAAAUUCAGAACAAAGGUGGACAAAUCUGAACUAUGACAUGUAAUACAUUAUAUAGAGAGAUGACUAAAAAUGUAUGAUGAUUUGGUAGGGAUCCUCGGUCAAAAAAAAUGAUCUGGUAUGGAAAUCUGAUGGUUACUCCAAUCUUUUGUGUGUGAUCAGAAAAAGCAGUACUAAUCAAAUGUAUUAGUUUAAAUGGCUCUACACUUUUGUGUUACUCCAAUCUGACUUGUUAAAUAAAGAUGAUGCAAUUAAACUUUGAAUCACUAGAUGUAGAACUUCAGAUGCAUGAUCUGGUUCUGGUCUUCUGGAAAUUUGGGUUGUUUUUGUCCUUUGCAAAGGUUAACUAAAAAGUCUACAAAAUCUGGGAACAAAGCAUCUAAAUGUAUGACAUGUUUACCAGAUCUGGGAACAAAGCAUCUAGAUGUAGAACUUGUUAUUUUUGGUGUUUUUUGGGUUCUAGCUGCACUACACCGAAAACUGAAGAUUUUCUACACGAACUUGCUAUCUCUUUUACCAAGGAAGCUAUAAGCUACAGAUUCUUGCUCUCUGAUCUCAAGACUGAUCCCAAUUUGUGCUACCAGAAAUAAGCUGUUCACUUGUACUGUAAUACAAAAGUCCAAAAUUCCUGCAUCUGAUUUAACCAAAGUCCACCAAAACCAUCAAAGUUAAACAUAGGAAAACAACCAACCAUGCAUCUGACUUAACCAUAAGUCCAGCAUUACAAAAUGUUACCACGUCCACCAUUACAACUAGUCGACUAAGGUUUGUAGAACGCUCUCAUAGAGUUCAUGGUCACAACCUAGAACAUUAGGAAGAUUUCUUGUACGCUCUAGGCCAUCCUUGUACAUGUGGGGGAUCUUGUAGCGGUUGCCUCCAGCAAUCUUCAUGACCUCAAGCAAACAACUUUGUAGUGUAAGGAAAACCCUAUUGAUCUUAUCGGCAUCAUAAGCAUCAUAUUCUUGCUUCAGAUUGUUGAUUAGCUCAUCUAAAUUGUUAGAGACGAGUCUAGAUGACAUGGACUGUAGCGAAGAAAAUAGGCCACGAUCUAAGAUAUUCAUAUCCGGUGAGUUUGCAGGUUGUUGCAUGAGGCGGAUAUCAAGCCCUGUUUGGGCAACAGCAUUAGCAAAACCUGGGUCAUCACUUGGGACAUGUGAGGGUGCAUUAUCUUGUUGGAUCCAUAUGGUCUCACUGGCGAGCUCUUGGGGCCAAACCGCCUAAAUAGCAGGUAGUACUUUCUGGAUCAAAAACUGCCUCGACGUUUCCCUUUUAACUUUGAUAGUUUUGGUGAUAAGAGUCCUUCUUGGACGAUUACCACUACUCCUUGGCGCUGGCUCCUAAAAUAAACAAACAAAUGGUUGAGUGAACCAAAAACAAACAAACAAAUAAAUUUUAUGAUCAGGCUAGACUAAAUGCUGAUGUGCACAAUAAUUACAAAGAGUAAAAGUUGAAAUUCACCUUUUUGAUAAAGGGCCAAAUGCCUAUCUUCCCAUCAAAAACUUGCUAUUAAAACCAAAAACAUUACUUUGCCAACGGAGUUUUUAUUUUGCACAGUCCUAUGUGGGUCCUCUUCCGUUGGUAGCUUGUAGAAUUUCAUGGUCUUUUGGGUGGCGUUAAACCACUUCUCAUCUAAAUGGAUUAUGUUACGCAUGUCCUUGAAUGUCGGCCUAUUUUGCAAACUCUGUUGGUCAAACAUAGAGAUGCAAAACCGAAGCCUGGUCUUCUUGUUUGCUUCCCUCAAAUAUGGCUUGAGCGAACUUGAAUUCCUAUCCAGCAAGCCUUCCGUAAAAAUCUUAUGAAGUGUGGUUUUCUUCACACCCAAAGCUACUGCAAGACUACGUAUAGUUCUCCGCUGAUCCCGAGGAAUGUUAGGAAUAGCACUAAGGUCAACUAGAAUCCUCUUGCGACCACAAUUUUUUGGCUUCCUUGAUCUUAUAUCAACGAGUAUGCCUUGUUGGCGACACUCCUUCACUCUCCUCCAAAGACGUCUGACCUUGUACACUGAAACAUUGAAAAUGUUUGCAACUUCUUUGGUUGUGUUCUUCUUUAAUUUCCAAUUAUUACUUCUUACUAGUAAUUCUGCAUAAAUGCUGGACCUUUACAACUCUGUUAAAUUCUUGUAUUUGUCUUCAUCAUGUACUUGCUCAUUAUGGGCUUGCUCGUGCUGCACUUCCACGUCUUCUUUUGAUCCUGAAUCAACAAGCUCUUCUUCCUCAAAUUCAAUCUCUACAUCACCUGCAUACACACCAUAGUCGUCCUCGUCAACUUUAAGAUCUUCUAGAGCAUUAUUCAUUGCUUGUAGUUCCUCUUCCAUGGUCUGGAAAGCACCAUCUUGGUCUUCAAUCUCGUUGUCUACAAGGUGAGGUUAUGUGAAUAUUUGAAAAGUAUACUAAAUUAGAAAAGUAAGGUAAACUAAACUAUAUUGCUGGACUAUUUAUAUGCUACUAUGUGUGUCAUUGUUCCAGUUUUUAUAUCCUUCCCAACACUAUUUAUAUGCUAGUAUGUGUUUCAUUGUUCCAAUUGUAAUCUAAUUUGACAGUAUGUUGUUUUGACAAUAAAGUUUAAAAACUUGAACACAACAAUAUGUUGUUGCAACAGUAAAUAAUGAUCUGGAUCCACUUAAUUUUUUUGCUGCCAUACAACCAUACAGUACAGAUCAUUAUCUUUUCCCCUCUAAAUCUAGCUUCUGUACUAGCCUGAUUAGUUUAGUAACAUUGUAAUGAAACAUUCAAUUGUGAGUAGUUGUUUCACUAACCUGAUUCAUCUGAAUCUUGCAGAUCCUCGUCUCCAUUUUCAAUGUAGGUCUCAUGUUCAUCUUCUAUGUUUGGGUUCAUGUUCAAAUCAAAGUGAUGACCGGCCUGGAGCUCUUCUUUGUGUAAGGGUGGCUCAGGUUCAUCUUCUCCCUCACCAUGUGCCAUGUUCAGAUCAAUUGCCAUGGAGAGAGAGAGGAGAGAGGGAGGGAGAGAGAGAGAGAGAUUGUGUGUGUUUGUGUGAUUAUUUAGCUGGACCCAAAUGUAUUGAUGUAUAGCCGGGCAAGUCUUUUGGACUGCCCAAAUUGAUUUUUGGCGGCUAUUCAAAUUUUUGUACUAAUUGUAAUCUGGCGGGAAGUAAGCUAAUUGCAUUGCUAAUUGUAAUCUGGCGGGAGUCCUAGUAGUACUGCUGUGGCGGUGGCGGGAAGUAUUUACUUGCAAUUGAUGUGGAGUGUGCAGUAUUAAUUGUUGCGUGAAUCAAAGCAUGGAGUAAUGGAGGGGAGGAGGAGCUUUUCUGCAAAAUCCUUAAUUCCCUGGAAAACACCGAACGUUCUUUUGCGGACAGAGAAAGUAGCAAAAGAAUUCCAUCAAAUUCUUGCAUGUGUGGUGUGCUCCGGCCAGGGGCUGCGACGGAUAGCAGAUCGAUCGAUGGGGAAGGAAUUCUUUCUGCAUGCAGGCAUGAUUACGGCCAUCAAUUCCUCAUCCACCUCCAUGCAUCAUCAUCGUCAUCAUGUGUUGUGUGUGCCUAGCCGAGCUACCUGCGUGAUAUUAAGCAAUCGUGUUGAUGUGUACAUCGGGGACAAGCCGAUGGGGUCGUUCGCUAGCCGCAAUCAUGGGGCAUGAUGGCUGCUGCAUACGGCCGCCCGAGCUAGCACUGCUUGCUUGCUUGCCCGAGCCAGCAGCAGCAGCAUGCAUAUAAGCUUGUGGCCGAUGGAGCCUGCCCGCCUGUUCCUCCUUUCCUACGUACGAUGGCGAUAAUGAUGGUGGCCUGCCGUUGGCUGGCCGGGUGAUGCGCGAUAGAUGGAUGGAUGGAUGGAUGGAGGAGUGUAGUGCUGCAGGCGCAUAAGGAUGCAAUCAUGCCUGUUUGUAAUUGUACGCGUAGUACUACCCAGGGGUUCCUUUCGCAACAAAAGUAACCCCUCGGGUUUUCUACAAGUGUGCAAAGUAGGAAUCAUGCGUGCAUGGCCAUAAAAAGGUCAAAAGGGAUGGGCAGCACUAAUCCUCCCUUCUCUCUCUCGCGUGCCCGUGUCAUUUACCAGCAAAAAUGAAAAAGGAAAACAUACUCGUCACAUCAUGUUCCACUGUGGUUUUACAUCUGGGAUGGGUAUGUGCCUACGUGAGAAUUAGACCGUACGUGUAGCGCGUUUUAAUUCAGAGGGAAAAUGUGUAGGAACGUGAAGUAGACAUAUAUGCUUAUAUGUGGGGUAUCUCCAAAUUAAAAGACAUAUGUUGCUACUAUUUGUGCCGAUUGUGUUUCCGUUAUGAGUAUCUCAAUAAACAAUAUGGUGGUGAGAAAAAAAAAUGUUUCACGUGGGUUAGAAAAUCUCAGGCACGACGAUCCUUCGAGAAACGACCAAUGAUGGCAACAAGACACGAUGUUUGACAAUGGAGUUUGUGAACAUGUCUACAUCUUUGGGAGCCCCUACACAAAUAUUCUAGGCAGGGUCGAUUUUUAGGGUGUGACAAACACGUCGCUAAUGAAGUCUCUCUAGAGCAACAUUCAGUGCCAUGAGCAAGUUCGAAAUUUUGAUGAAAUUUCAAUGAUUUUUUUAUGAUUUUGGUGGGUACUAACAUAUUUUGCAUCAAAACUUCUGAACAGGUUCGUCAAACAUAACUCAAAAUGUGUAUUAAUUCGAGGAAAUUUGUUCGGAAUAAUUUUUGGUUUCUAAAUCUAUUGGUUUCUAUUUUAUUUUUGCGAGGACCUAAAUUUUUAGGGGGAAAAAAUCACCCAACUUUUAGGAUCUUAGUUUUCUACUCCCUCCUUUUUUCUUAAGUCAUAGACAUUUAUUAUGGAUGGAGGAGUAAAAUUUAGGGAAAAAAAACACAAUGCUCGAUGGUCACUACUUAAUGCUCGAUGUUCACUACUUACCUGUAAAUUUGCAUGAAAAAAAGGCAAAUAUAUCGAUUUACAGAGGUGUAUUGUUUGGUAUUAUAGAAUUUAAUUUUCCGGCAGCACACGGGUGAAAUAAUUACUCAUUAAGAUUUUUACAUGUGUGUAAGAGAUUUAUGUUCGUUGCAUGGGAUUUUUUUUUCAAAUUGUUCUAUAACCUAUUAACAUAAAUUUCUAUUAUUUGGAUCAACUAAUCCUGGGAGUCAGAACGCCAAACUACCACUUUUUUCUACUCCACUUUCAGAAAAAAAAAUUAUGAACCUUGUCAAAGGGUGGGGAGCUCCCGCAAUUCAUUUAAGAAGAAUAGAAAAACCCGAUUUAUAAGAAAAAAUAGACCGAAAAUCAUACAAGAAAACUCAUCCGGCCUAACUCAACUAGACCCAGAACCCAACACACCACAACACACUACUGCCCCAUUACGCACACGACACAAGAACAGCAACUCACGCGCAACAACACACUUUCGGAAUUAAAAGGCCGUGCUGUUACGGAGCAGGAGUACACGAUACGUGCACGGGGCUCCUUCACCGUGGCGUCCCAAACAGGCGUACAGUACCGCCGGCUGCGAAGCCGCGGAUGCAUGUGCCAUGCAGAGAAGCGGCACACGCUGCAUAUCACACAACUUUCCAAGUGUCAGGCGAAGCAAAGCCCCAUCAGCUAGCUCACCCUAAAUUCCUCCAUGACCAUGUUUCAGUUCAUGCGCACAGCGGCGGGGCCACUACAGGACGGCAUCACGUGCCGCGUGCCCCGUUUGCCUGCGCGGCUGUUCCGUCCGUCCACCGAACGACAUUUAUUAUUGGGUGCGUGAUGGCACGCGCGCCGUGGGCGUCCGCCCCCGUCGAUCUCAUUAAAUCGCGGCAACGCGACGCACAGGCAGCCUAGCUGCUUCCUUCUGCCGCGCACUGACCCGCGCGCCUGGGCGAGCGAGCGAGCGAGCGAGCAAGCACGGCAGGGCAGGCGCUGCUGCUGGUACUGCUGCUGCUUCCGUCUAUUUUGCCCCUGUCCCUCCCCACGUUACUUCCUGGCCCGCCCUCGUUUGCCCGGGAACCCCGCCCAUCCAGCCGAAAGGACACGCAGACGGCUGGAUGGGCGUCCGAUGGGAAAUCUUCAGUUCAGUGAUUCAGUCAGCAGUAGAGCUGGAAGUGUACAUAUACACGUUCACGGAUUUUACCGGAUUGAUCUACAGCUCCGUAGACGUCGGUCUGUAGACAAUACGUACUGGUACAACGCAGGCGUGCAUUGCGUGAUGUGAAGCCACGCUAUACAACUUGCUUUGGUCCGCCGUAUCGGGUACGUACGGUGAGCAAUGCAAGAACGUACUGUACGCCGGAUCGGCCGGCCAUGCGCGGACCCACGCUGCGCAUCGCACGGCCUCGUCAGGCUUGUCACGCCGGUGGGGGCAAAACGUCAAUUAUUUGAAGUCACACGUACAGCAAUCAAAGCCCUCAUGCCGACCGCGCACAUAUGGCUGGUACUACCACGAGUCGGACGGCCGCGACCGGCGCGCUCAGCGCGAAUUGACAGUAGCUACUGAGGUGCGGCUACGUUGCGUGGCACUGACGACACUGUUUUGCGGCAUGGCGUGUGAUUGGCGCCCGCCGCUGGCUUUGAUGUGGCGAGCAGCGAUGCACAUGACAGCUGGUGGGAGGAGCUAGCCAGAGCUUGACGAUCUCUUCUCUCUCGUCUCGCCGCCGCGCGGCCGGUCCCGUCGCAGUUGCCUUUUACUGGGAAGAAGAUCUUUGGUCGCGAUUCGCUGCCCGUUCCAUCUAUCCGUCGGGUCGGACUCGACGCGACCCCAGAGGCCAAUUUAGUGCUGCUGCUGCUAUGCAUUUUUUGUUGUUGGAAGAUGCUGGAAUGCAGUUGAGCGCUGGAGUUGGCCCAAGAAUCGGAACAGCGCACUAAGUAGGGAUCGCCUCCAGUUAUGCGAAAGGAAAAGAAAAUCAGAAGAGAAACUCGGGGUCGGGGGUAUUCCGGUCUUCCAGAAGCAGCAUACGCAGCUGAUAUACGCUACGGGAGAUACGUCUAUGUCUCGUUUCCAGGAACAAAGAGCAACAGUCCGUCCUGCGAUGCAUGCAAGAGCCAUGACAGUGAUAGUACCAAGUCACUGUUGUGAUACCACCACACGGCAGAGCCAGCAGCCAAGAGGAAUGGACCGUCGACUUGUGGCGGCGCCCUUCACACUGCCACUCGAUGACUCGAUCGAGAAAAGCGCGAUAGUUAAUAUGGAAAUUUUGUCGCGGCUAGUCAUGUUUUAGUGUGAAAAAUUGCAAGCAGUAAAUUCUUAGCUGUGUAUGGUAACUGUUUUUGAACUGUUACAAAAAAUAUCGUCCAACCACGUGAUGCUAAUUUAGCUCACCUACAACAUACAUAUUCCUGUUUCCUUGCCACGUACGAACCAUUACCGGAGCCGGCCGGCAAAUUCUGACCACAGAAUUAAGGUGACUACUGAUGGAUGGUAAGUAAUUUAGCUGUUGCAAUCAAUGGCACACAAUAUACAGAGUACUCCCAUUGCGUAAUUUCAGGAUUGCGCCCAUUCUCACGUGAAAAUGCAUUCACUCUCUCGUGUACACAGAGCAGAAGAAAUGUAAAAAAGCCAGAAAAAUGGACUCAGCUCUUUUAACACCGAUUGAUGUUAUAGCAGAAGAUUGAUGAUUGAUGUGACGGAGAGCAGGCUGGGCCGAGACACAGCCACACAGGUCCGGUUGACAGUGCCCCCGUCAGUCAGUCAGUAUGUACUGUUUCCGUCCAACAAUAGGUUGCAUUAGCUUUCUUUUUACCAAUGUUCUGGUCACAAAUUACUCUAUUAAUAUAUAACUAUAUAACAUAUAUUCAUAUUCAUUAUAUUUCUAUUUAAGGAUAUUUGAUUAUGAUUAUGGUUUUGAUCACAUUAGUCACAUAUUCAUGAAGUAAUUUGUAAUCAAAGUCUUGAUUAACCGAAUCCUAAUAUGUCUCGUAUUGUUGGACGGAGUGAGUAGGGCAAUAGGAGAAGCCCGGCGCCCCGGCCUGGAGGAGCUGUGAGUGCGAACUGCAAACUGGGAAAGCAUUUAAGGCCAGUUCUUUUCGGCUUUCUGGACCGGCUUCUUUGAGAAGUUGCUCUCCCCAGCUUUCUGAAGAAGCCGUCACUUAAAUUUGAAUAGGCUACCAAGUUAGUUUGGCCUAAACUAAAUUGAAAGUCUAACUAAAUUUGUGAUGCGGUUUCUCCAGAAAGCUAUGUAAGAGCAGCUUCUAGGAGAAGCCGGUAUUAGAAGCCGAAAAAACGCACCCUCGUACGUCGUGAACUUCGAGGUGUCCUUGUACUACUUGCCCGUGAUUAUGGGGCGGUACAUGCUGAGAUCCCGCACUAGUAUGCGAAGAUACUGGUUCGUGUAAUCCGCCAGAAUCACAUAAUCUUCAUGGCGGCAAAAAUCUUUUGGUAAGCACCGAACCCAAGAAGCUCGGCACAGUUCCGACAGUUUGCUUGCAAUUUUGACAAACAAAUGCCUACGCAUUCGGUACCGCCUACGGGAAAGAUGUGUUGGGUACGUCCAUACCUCGGUGAAAUAGUCUUACAUCAACAUCUUAUGCCCGAGGGCUCGAUUGCAGGGUAUGCAGAGCCGACCCACCUUGGAUCCUCACCGCUUCCUCGUCUUCUCCUUGUCCUCCACCUCUUUCAUGGUGAGAAUCAUCAAUAUGUUCUCGAGGUCGUUGUAGGUGACUUUGUCGUCCGAGGAGUCGUUGGACGACAACGACGACGAAUCCUCUAGAAAUUGUUUCGCGGCGAAGCUCAAUUCGAAAGGGCACGUCUGAAAAUUCAAAGAUCCACAAUUCGCAUGAACAAAUUCGUGAGAUCCCCAAUUUACAACUAACGGAAUCGGCUGUUGGGGUAGACGAGACACGAACGCUGUGAGAUCCGAAGAUUGCUGCCAAUGGGCGACGGGACACAACCGAAUAGCUAGCCCGUGUCCAGGCGGCGGCGAAAUCUGAGGGUGGGAGGUGGCUGCGGCGUAGGGAGAAAGAAGGCGCGAGCGGAAAUGUCCUAGGACCCAACCAUUUUUGGUAGGCUAUUGGUACCGAGACGAGAGGCGCGGGAAUCAUUGAAUAUGGCGGACCGAGGGGUCGUAGUCGGUACUACCGAAGAGAAUUUUUGGGGUUUCCCGAAUAUAACGUACGUGUUCGUGUCGUUUUUUCCGCCGAAAAUCGGAAAGUGACGGUUAUUUUGUGGAUUUCGCCGAUAUGCGGGAUCUGCUAGAGAUGCUAAUGGCGGAUACGGAGUGUGCAAUAUGCGCUGCUAUUACUGUCCACUACUGGCCUCUACAUCUGGCAGAAGCGUUUGGUGGUAAGAAGUUUUAUGGCAAGGUCAAGGUCGCCGAGCGAGCCCAAAGCGAAGAUCUUCAAAAUCUGCUAGGAAUUUAUGGAGCUGGGAGUGGCAGUGCCAUAGAUCACGGGGAGUACUACUAGUCUACUACAACUCUACGAGUAGUACGGAGUACGGCUAAACAGGCUGUGCAUGUCCAUCGGUUCUUUGCGCAUCACAUUUCUCAGUGCUUCUGCAAAACGACUUUUUAUUUUGAAACACUUCUAUUUUUUGCAUGAAUUUUGAAACACUUCUGCAAAACAAGAGUGUCUUUUUUUGUUCUGAGAUCAAUCAAAACGACUUGAGAGUUGAGAAAAAAAAAAUCCAACCUUUGACCCCGGCGUGCAUAGCCCAGGCCCCAUGUAAAACUCGCCCAAGGACUGAGCCCAGGCCGUGCCCCGCUUUAGGGCCCCUUUGAUUCAUAGGAUUUUGAAAAUGCAGAAACAGGAAAAGUACAGGAAUCGGAUAGGAAUGCAUGUGUAAAACAGAGGAUUCAAAAACACAUAAAUUUUGUAAGCAUGGGUGUUUGAUUAACAGGAAUAGGAAAAACACAGGAAUUCUACAAAACACGAUCAAAUUAAAGUCAAACCACAUGGAUUAGUAUACUCCCUUCAACAAUACGGGGCAUAUUAGAAUUCGGUUGACCAAUCCUUUGACCACAAAUUACUUCAUUAGUAUGUGACUAAUGUGAUCAAAAUCGUAACCAUAAGCAAAUAUCUUUGAGUAGGAAUAUAACGGAUAUGAAUCUAUGCCAUAUAAUUAUAUGUUAAUAGAGUAAUUUAUGGUCAAAGCAUUGGUCAAAGAAAAGCUAAUACGCCCCUUAUUGUUGGACGGAGUUACUCCCUCCAUCCAAUAAUAGAAGGCAUAUUAGGUUUCGGUUGACUAAGCCUUUGAUCACAAAUUAGUUCACGAAAAUAUGACUAAUGUGAUCAAAAUCAUAAUCAUAAGCAAAUAUUUUUGAGUAGGAAUAUAAUGGAUAUGAAUAUAUGUCAUAUAAUUACAUAUUGAUAAAGUAAUUUAUGGUCAAAGCAUUGGUCAAAGGAAAACUAAUACGUCCCUUAUUAUUGGACGGAGGUAAUAGUAAUUAGAAUGCACUCUUGUCUAGUUUUGUGUGAUUAGGAAUUUAAAAAAGAGGUAUGAGUGGAGAUCGAAAGAAAUUUUCGUCCACUUUUUUUUUACCCAAUUCCUUUAAAUCAAAUGAGGGAAUAGUGUCACCAAAAGAAAAUUUCCAAUCCCUGCGCUUUUCCUCCACGUUUACUAUGAAUGAAAGAGUACCUUAGAGUCGAAUAACCGGGUCCCACCAGCCCCGGAUCAUGCGGCCAUGCCAAGCCGGGCCCGCCAGUUGGCGUCGGGCCGACAGCACGCCAGGAGCAAUCAUUAGUACGGUCGCUACCGCUCCGCUCGAUCUCGCGAAGGGGCCCCGCAAUUAUUUCCCUGUGAUUGCCCCGGUUUUGCUUUGCUGCUUUGGUCCAUUCGUUGUUCCGCGGGUCGGGUCAGUUGGAGAGCAAAGCCGUAGACCCGAUCAGCGCCCGUGCUAACGUGACGGACGCGGGUCAGCUGCUGCGCUGGUUGACGGCGACCGGCGAUCCAGGUAGUACUUCUGAGUAUUGACCACUGUUUUUCGUAUCAGUAGUGUAAAAGUAGUAUCGGACUAGUCAAAUCAUACGGAGCUUAGUUAUAUAUACUAGUUAUAUGGUCAAGGGAGCAUAUAUGCAGGCACAGGAAAAUAUGCGGAACCGUCAGGCAAGAAUAGGACUGCCGAGCCCCCGCCUUGUCUGGACGCUUGUUGGCCCCGCCGAGCACGCUUCCUCCGGAGCGCCACAUGUGUGACCCGACGGCCCGACGAGCCGGCAUCAUCUCUCUUUUUCUCGAGGUAGCAUGGCCUGGUCGGGGCUAAUAAUUAUUGGACUCGAGAUCUCAUCCGCGUGUGGGCUGUGGCCAGCAUCUUGAUCUGAUCCGCGUUUGCCGGCCUGUUAGUACGGCACGGAACCUCGUGUCACGCGAGAAGGCCCCGUUUCCUGUCAGGCAAGUGAAAAGUAACUUGGGCAGUAACAUAGAUGCUAUGUAGGCAUUUUGAUGACAUGGCAUGACAAUAAAUGAAAAAAAAAGAUGGUAACGAGAUAUAUUACCAUAACAUCACACAAAUCAAGACAAUAUGAAUCUACGAGACAAUCAAUGACACAAUACCUGACACCACUGUCACCAGCCUUAAGACCGUCCCCCCGUUUGCAUAUUCAGACGGAGCAACAGGAGCAGAUCGGCGUGAAAACAGUCAGCACCUGAGCCACUCGCGUGACGAGUCACGUCCUCCUCCAUGCACAAUCAUGACCCUCAUUAGGCCGCGGAGGACCCGAGAGCGAGGGGAUUGAGAGAUGAGAGCCUGGUGAUAUGGCAUAACGGACAACGUAAUAACGGCCGCUCCGGUCCUACGAGGUGCGAUCAUUAUUGGUGCGAAAAUAAGAGGAACCUAAAGUAAGCUAAACAGCGAGAUAUAAACAAUUUUAAGUCAAACGGAUUAACGGAGCGAUUGAUCGAGUAGGUGCAUGCGAGCUUGCAGCAAGCAUCUGGAUCUGGAUCUCUCGCAUGAAAGAAACGGUUCGAAGAAAAUGUGAAAACGAAAUGAUAAGCGAUUUUUUUCUUUUUCAAUACGGACUAGAUGAAAAGCAUUCCGAUUCGCACUUUCUUUGACCAAAGAGCUCUCCUGUCAAGUGGAGCACCACGCAGUCACCGAGAAAUGGCCCGGUUGCACUUUUCUGUCCUUUACCAACCUUUAAUAGAUCUCUUUCUGGAAAAGCACUGAACUUUUGUUUGUAAAACUAAGUGCACAAGAUCACACUGGCACAAAUAGUUGAGCUACCGGAUAUCCAUCCAUCAAUGCAUCACUACGGUCUACGCCUCCACGGAGUAUAACUAUAAUGUGCUACAGUGCUACAGUGCUACUAGUUACUAGCUACGAAGUUUUGGCUGGGUUGGCAGAAUGGCCGUCUUCGUCUUCGCUUGUCUACAAUAAGGUAAGUACAGUAGUUAGUAGUAGUAUCUUCACUCGAUAGUUUUGCCCUUGGUGCUGUGAGGACGGGUCUAUAAUAUCAGCAUGUUGUCCAAGCAUGUCUACAAAAACAGAGCAAGAGAAAUAAGCCAAAAACUGUCUACAAAAACAGAGCAAGAGAAACAAGCCAAAAACUGUCUACUGUCGCAUCGUUCAUCUGCACGUGUGUACUAGUAGUGUUUUCCUGUGCCGUUUGGCUCGGUGCGAUCACUGAAAAUUCUACAGCCUUUGGUGUUCUGCUGUUUCUUUUUUUUUUUUACAGCUUUGGUGUUCCGCUGUUUUCUCGCGCUCUCUGGCGGCUCUUUCUUUUCCCUGCUGAGAAAACAGAGGAGAAGCCAAUUCAUUUGGAUGCUCUCAACAAAAAAAAAAAGCCGAUUCAUUUGGACCGUCAAAAAAGUUUGGUUUAUUUUCCCUAUGGCACCUAACGCUGAUGAUGACACUGUCAUGGAAAAGUGAUCGGGGAUCUCAAGUAAAUCCACGUGCUUAGCAAAGUAAUAAUGGAAAAAAUCAUGAUGAUUAUACUUUCAGGGAUGAAGAAGUUUUUAUUAUUAUUUUGACAAACUUCAACAGCACUGAUUUCAUGAAUCAAGCAGCAUGGAGUAAAAUAAAACGUCGUAAACUACUUCCUCUGGUCUAUAAUAUCUUGGUAUAACUUUGUACUAAAUCCAAUAUACUUAUAUGAAUCGGAAGGAGUAAGAAGUAAGAACUGGUGUAAAGGAUGGAGAAGUUUUCAACUGCGGAUUCAUAUCAUGAUCUUUUCCUCGGCAACGUUACUAUACUAGACCACAAAGACCAUGAUGACGUGCAUUAUUGCACUUGUCAAUUUUUCUGAUAGAAUGAAUGUAUGUAAUACAUAAAGUCAUGAAGCAUGAUGCCCAGUUUUCAUAAACUACCCCAUAUAUUUUAAAAAAUCGGAAAGAUAAUAUGGUAGAUCUGAAUUUGAAACAGGGAGGUAAACUGAGAAGAGGACAAUAACAAUAUCUUUUUUUUUGUGGGUUAUAACAAUAGUAUCUCUGCAUUGAAAAAUCUACAUCAACACCAAAAUCUUCAAACUGCUUGAUUGCCUGUUACAAGGCGAGUUGAUAAGAAAAUGACAUUGCCCAUAAAAACAAUUCAUAUAAUCAACCUAUCAGGCUGCGAUUUAUUACCAGAAAUAGCAUAAACACCAUUGUACCAAGAUAAGUUUAGGGGCAAUGGAUCACACGUCCUCUGAGCAAGUCGUCUUGAUUUCUCCACAAUUGUGACAAUUCAUGCCGACUGGAAGGUGUAAAAAGCCAAAAUAGUGAAACCUUAAUAUUGCCAUUAAAUGUGUGAUUGACCCAGCGCUACAGGAUGAACCAGGUUCUAGGGCACACGUCACCCGGCAAUGCGAAAUUCAAGGGCACACGUCACCCGACAAUGUGAAAGCAAUUAUAGUCGUCCACCUGUUGGCAACGCUAGCAGCCAGCGACCAUAACAAUUGAAUAUAAAAUCUAAAAAACACUAUUGACUACAACAUAAAAGCCGAUCCCGCCAAAAAAUGGUCCCAUUUGAAGCAAUGUGCCUGGUUGAAACCCUCCUUUUUCACAUCCGAUGCCCUCCUGUCUCGUGACCUUGAGACCAUCCAGAUUUGACCAUCUUGAUCUUCAGGUAGUUAUCAUUUUACUUCUCUAUAUAAUUGUCAACUUAAGUAAUGACGAGAGACAUGUCAUUGGAGAUGCUCGGUCCAUGCUUUAAACCAUAAACAUCCAUCUAUGCUCUCAACAUAUACCGGAAGAACACAUAAUUCUCCGUUUUGCCAUAGACAAUCGAUCAUCGCACUCACUAUUCUAGGACACGAUGAUAAAUUUUUAUGCCGCUUCAUUGUACGCGAACGGUAUAAUCUAUAUAUCACCACAAUUAACGAGCUAUUACUACUUUGAUCUAUUUGUCAAGGCGUGCGCAAAAUAAACAACUCCAUGUGAUGUUGUAUAUACUCGAGAAAUGGGUGGAUGGGUGGAUAGUCUAAAUAAGCACACCAAAAAUACCAAUGUUCAUGAAGUACUAUUUAUCUUAACAAAUAUUCAUAUAUGUGAAAAUAUGACUUCAUGAAAAUCGAUUUAAAAGCGCCAUAUUUUGGUACUGAAUAUUAAUCAUUCAUAUUUAUGGCUGGAUAUCAAUUACUCCUUGCUAGGCUAGCAAACAUUUAUUCGUGACCAGCUACCACGGGACCCACCCAUCCCUUCCCCUCCCUUCCCCCCCCUCUCUCUCUCUCAUUCUCUAAUUCUCUGCGCACAGUUGACCACAUAGCUAGCACAGAACUUCAGAUGGACUCGUCCUCCCCUCGUGCGCCCCGGUCAACCUUCCCAGCCACCGGGCACGCUCCAACCAGCCUCACAAAGCCUGCUGAAGACGAAGCAGCAGCGCAUAUGGCGCUCGAUCUGGUCAAGGAGAAGGAACACCAUCCCGUCCGAGCCGAACCUCUCGAGAUCAUGCCUUUCCGUUUCAGUUCAUCCCAGGUCGAGGUCGACGGCGAAUUAAUCCCAUCUGUCUCUAAAAAUACCACACCGUUCUUUCCUUUCUAGCCAAGAUUUCUUUCCCUCAGAUCCAUCCAUUUCUUUCCAGGCGAGCAAGGACGUGGAGGAAAAAACUUUGGACAGAACUACGGUGAUGAUGACCUCCAGAUCAACAGAGGGGAUCCGGUAUUUAUAUGCUCUAAAGCCCUACGUUUCACUUUUGCAUCUGUGCGCAUGUAUCGAUCUUUUGUUGCGUGUUUUAGAUCAGGUGAGGACUAGAGAUGAAAGGCUGAGUGCAGUCAAGAGUUGAUUGAUCUAUAUAACCGUGGUUUAUGGCGUUCUAUUUUGCAUCCACGUAGCCAAGAGGCUCGUGCGUUUGAUAUUAAAAAAGAAGACUACGGCUACUAGAGAACACACCGAACUGCUCAAUCUAGAGUUUUCAUCUGCGUGAACGAUUAAAGCCGCAGAACAAGGCAAUGCUGAUUUUGACAUUAACUGAAAUAAAUCAAAAGGAAAUUUAUGAUAUCUCAAUCAAAGAUUGUUCUGAUGUUUUUGCAAACCGGGCUAGCCCCAUUUCCAUUAACAGCUUGUUUGACACUUUGACUCCUAUUAUUUAGACCAUGAAUCCUAGAACCUAGUUUGGCUGGCACAUCGGUAUGAUUGGGCAUGUGCUAUUUACAUUUCUCGAACUCUAAAUUUAUUGUACUAUUCCUUUACCUCGGUAAUGACAAUCGAGUUAACCCUGAUUGGAAAAAUGUAGAACAUAUGCUUCUUUUGAUUUAAUUUUGGUAUCUAUGUAGAAUACAGAUUGUCGUCUAGCUGCACAAUUUAGACUACCAUUUCUUGGUUGGUACUUCGUGCAUACUUACUAUAUGUCGUAGAAACAUUUUGGGUACUAGCUUGGUACUACCUCUGUCCUAACUUUGUGCUAAAGUCAAAUUUCUUAAAGUUUGACAAGGUUUAUAGAAAUGUUUUACCAACAUCUGCAACUUCAAAUUAUAAAUUCGUCAUGCUAUGUAUCCUCAUAGUAUACUUAUGUUUUGGAAUGGAGGCAGUACAAUAUUUGGUAAGACUUAGUUCUCUUGUGUCUAGUUUUCGGUACUCAGCAUUGACAAAAAAUGGUUGUUUGUGUUCAUUUUGUACAUUUCUUCAUUUUGAACUGAUAUUCCAUAUGUUUUAUCCAGUUAAUAUAAUCCUGAUCCAUGUCAAUCUCGAAUUCUCGAUUUUUGUGUUAGUAUUGUUUUGCUAUGGAUUUUGUUAGUACAUGGACGCAAUUUUUCGAACUGCAAAACUAAGUAAUGCCAUGUUUCUCGUGGCAGCGAUCAAGCACUAGGGGAGUACGGUGGCCAGCCGCUGUUGAUGGAAGAAGUGCGGCGGUGUAACCGUGGCAAUGGCCGUGGCAGCGUGUGCAGAGCGAUCGCACACCCCGGCUACGUCUUGUGCUUGAGGCACGUCGAGGCCCGUCGCAAUAGCUACAACAAGUUGCAGUUAAAGAGGAAGCAGCAAGCCUCGGAGGCUGCAGGAGAUCUGAAGGACAAGCAUACAGCAGCUGGUCCACCUAAUCAUCUUUCAUCUCAGAUAGUACUCCUUCCGUCCGGUUUUAAGUGUCGCAAAUUUUAUCUAGAUACGCAUGUACCUACACAAUAAAAUGUGUUUAUGUACAUGCAUAUCUAGGAAAAAUUGCGACCGGACGGAAAGAGUGCUUGCUAAGACGGGCGAACCGGUAGUGGUUUAUGAUGCUACUACAUACUCCCUCCGAUUCAUAACAAGUAUCUUAGAUUUAGUAUUAUGGAUCGGAAGGAGUAUUGAACUGGCUUAAUUCGCCGAGAGGCAGAAGCAAACAGUAAGAUCGCUCCAUGGCGAGCAGAUGGUGCCAAUCAGAUGGAUCUUUUGCAGCGUGGGGGAAGUCCUCCUUUUCGAAAAAAAUAAAAUUGAGCCGUUGCCAGGGCCCCUUUUGUUGAUUUUAUCUCUAUGUGUUUGCUUUGAACUCUACUGUCUCGUAAUGUUGCUGCACACUAGGUUGUUAAUUUCUGGUCUCGCUUUUGCCCAAUGGAACGUAUGUUUGAUUCUUAGUGUGCACAAGCGAGAAAGGGUAUGCUACUGCAUCUGGUUUCAAACAAUGUCCAACUUUUCAUUGUAUUUUUCUCUAUUGUUACUCCUCCUCUUUAUUCAAAUUUGCUCUGUUUCUUUGUUGGGGAAAUUGGCCAGGAGACACCGUUAUUUUGCGGUCUUUGCCCAAACACCGUCCGAUUGUGGAUUUGUCCAAUACCAUUACCAUUUUCGGACCAAUUGCUGAAACACAACGCCCGUCCAGAAAAGGAAAAUCUUGUGAAAUUACAUUCUUACCCCCUUCUCUUAUUUCUCCAGCACAAACCGUUUCCCGUCACUUCCUCUUUUUUUCUCCAGUCACCCGUGAAGAACCCUAGCUGCGACCGUGCUGCUCCCGUCGGGCACUGCUGCCUCUGUGCGGCCACGCUGCCCCCGCUACUGCCCUUGCGCCCGUCCGCUGCCUGCCCUGCUCUGUCACGCCCAAGACACGUCGACAUGUUCCAUUUCCUUCAAAGAUUUUUUUGUUCGAUGAAAGAGAGCUUUAUUGAUAAUUUAUUAAGUCAUUGUAAUCAAACUCGGUGAUAUAGAUCGGUGCAGCCAACCAUCAAACUGCCGAGUUUAUGUUCCAUAGCAUUUCCUGUCUCUUUUAGUAUGUGUGAUCAUGACCUCAAUCAGAUUUUGUGCACUGGUUCGAAUUGAAGCAAAAUGCCGACAAUCUUUUUAAGAUUUUUUUUUCCAAAAUUGGCGCAUACCGUACUAACUGAAAGGGUCAAAAUAUUCAUUAGAGAAAAAAAAACUAUUCAAAAAAGACAUCCCAAGCAAAAAAAACGUCAUGAGCAGUCCAAAAGGUCAACUUUCUGUUUUUGCACUGACAGUGUGUUUCAUCAAAUGACCCAAAAAUUGUAAUGGUACUCAGUAAAUCCACAAUCGGGUGAUGUGUUUGGGCAAAGGCCACAAAAUAACGAUGUCCUCUGGCCAAUUUCCCCACGAGCUAACUGUCCGUGCAUUGCAACAGAUAUCAAAUAACCAUAACUUUGGCAUGUGGCAUUAUAACUGUAUCAAAUAACUGAAACUUUGGCACCAUAAACUAAGCUUCUGUAAAGGUAUAGCAAUUCUCCAAUAGACACACCUAUGGAACAUGGCUUGACUGCAAAUGAAACGAAAUUUUAUUCAAACAUUAGACUGCUCCCAGAUAAAUCACACUUCAUACGAGCAUUGGCGAAUUGCCAAGACCUUUGACUGAGCAGACCCAUAAAACAUAAACUGCUUCAUUUGGUACCAACAGCAGUGCUACAGGGAUAGCAUGCUGGCAGUCAAAUUGGUAACAGCUUUGUAACUACUUGGGAAGGAUAUUAUUGCUCAUCAACUACUCCGAAGUUCAAAUUUACAUCCUGCAGACACAAGGUCCUCGUUGCUACGAUGAUCUUCUCUUUCCAGCCAUCAAUUAAGGUGUUAACAGAAAUAGUUCUAUCGUUAACGUACAAUUUUGCAAGUGCAUAAAUCACAGAUCUUUCCUUGCAGAUGUAGUUUUCUCAGUACCGCCGAUCAAUGCACCAAAUUCUGGAAGCAUAACAAUUCUCCAAUGUGAAACUGAAGGGUCUCUUUUUUUUUAAGCAAACAGCAGGCUGGGCUGCUGAGUUUCAUUGCAAGGGGUAGAAAUACAAAAGGAACUACAACCGCUCGAGCAGAGCAACCAAAGGAAAAGAAAAAAGGGAACUACGGAGUAAAAGAAAAGCCGAAGAACCGAGGACGGCAAGAGAGGAACUAAGACACUAAUCUCGCGGCAUCAGAGUUCCUCGCCUGGCCAUGUUCCAGAGCUGAACAGCAUCAGUGAUCCUCAUCAUCUACCAUGCAAGCACAAACUUCGAAUAAGAUCAAAUAACUUUGAAUAAAAUCAUGUUACCUAAACAGAAAGCAUGCGUACUGUAGCAUAAAAGAAAUCACAAACUUUGAAUAAAAUCAAGUACCUCGAUGAAGACAUUGUUGAGGACUUUCCAAAAAUGAAGAAUCAAAUGAGAUAUAUACCUCCAAUAACCUUUUCAAUGAGCCCCUUCUGCAAAAUGUUGGGUGAGGGUCAAUAUACUAACACAGUAGGGAGCUUCCCUGCUGUUUUUCGUUAAAAAAAAAGAGGUCAAUAUACUAAUUACACGACCUGCUGUAAAAAAAAGAACUAAUUACAUGACCUUCACAAGCUAGAACAUGUCUCUAUGUUUUCUUCUUCUUUGUAAUAAACUCAUAACAGCACGACAAUCAUCAUGUGCUUCAGAUUUUGAUGGAGUGGUCGAUCCCAAUGGAAAAUGUUUCUGAAGAUACAGUUCAAUAUUAUUUGUCACCUCUCAUUGGAUGAUGUUCUCCAAUACUUCGAUGGAGGCCGCCGAGGGGCAGCAGUGAGCGUGGAGGAUGAUUGGUCAGGGUCGAGUCUAGCGGAGGCUGGUGGCUCACGGCCGCCGGAGGAAGAGUGCUUGAGCACGGGCCUUGCGGUUGCGGAGGACCACGGCACAAGCUAGCACGGUGCCACGGUGGAGGUACAGAACAGGCGACCUGCGCUGGUCCAGGGUGGGAGAGGUUGGCGCUGGUCUGUCAGCGACCUUCACCCUUCCGGCUGGGCUGCACAGUGGGCCAUAUCGUUCAUGGGCUACGGCCUGAUAUCAAAGCACGAGCCGCAAUACAAAUGUAAGGAUCUCGGCAACAAGGAGGUUUGCUAGGAACGGACUUGACGGCGGCUUCGGCCGAGGCGUGGCUUAGGGCGUGUGUUGCUUCUUCUUCCUCCUCGUGUUCCUCAUCUUCUCCAUGAAUCCUUGAGUUGUAACCAAACUAGAUGAUGAUUCAGUAAUACAAGUACUAGGUUCCUUACAUCUGGUAUCAGAGCCAACCAUCACCCUUCCCAGUCGAUCCCCACCAAAAAUCCACAAAUCCUCUUUCAAUUUUUCUCCCCAUCCACCAUCUGUUCGUGAGAAUGUCCAGCCAGCCAGCGCUUCUAGAUCGUGGUGUCGCGCUUGUUGUCGACUGUGCUAUUUACCCAAUCAGUGAAGAAUUAUUCCAUGACAUCUUCGAUCCAUAUGGUGUGGAGCAGAUGGUUGUUUAUCCACCCCUCACAUCUAAGGGAGUCACCUCGGUGGCUGCCCAAAUCCUCUUCUGUUCCCGACAAGCAGCGACACAAGCACGAAAGGAGUGGAAUGGCCAAUGCAUCUACAAAGGUUGCUGCUCCCUAAGAAUCUGGCAAGCUUUGUGGGACGUGGAGCCAUCGGCCACAUCGACGACUGCAGCCAUUGCAGCGUCAUCUGCGGCAGCGCCGGCUUCCUCCAAGCCCUCUGUAGAGGCGUCCGCCACCGUCCCGGUUGUGCUCGUGGUCAGCGAGGGCGGCGGUGAUCUCACAUCGGCGGCCAUGCUCACGGACAUCUCCACACCGGACAAGACUUCUGCUACAUCCACAUCGGGCAAUGACCUCAUUGUCAUGUCGCCCACCAUCUGCUCGACGAUAUGCCCUGGAGGCACGGGAUCUUCCCCAACAACUUCACCGACUCUCGUCCUUGUAGCUGUGGCGGACUCAACGGCGAUGGUGACUACUCCAACAGCGGCCACAACGACGGCCCGUGAGGACGAUGUCCACUUCGCGGCCUCCAACUCCUUGGUCCGCGCACCACCGUACAACGCAACGCCGAUGGCUGCCGAUCUCAUAGUGGCCGUGAUGCACAAGGUCGACGAAGAUGACCCCAACUCUGUCACCUCUGUGGCGCCCUCCACUAUACUUGACGCCAGCCACAACAUAGGCACCACCAACUUCAAUCUCAUAACACCGGCUCACUGCUUGGCUGUGUGUGUGGUGCAUAAGGGAGGCUCCCCUGUCGCCGCAUCCUAUAUCAGGGCUUCGGACAAGGACGACUUGGUCUCGCAGUUGAUCCUGUUUUCGCCAACCGCCACGACAAACUGCAUAGCGACCAUGGCAACUCCAGUGGUGGACUUGUCGAUCUCUUGAGUACUCUCCAUGUGUGUGGCACCGGACUCUAAAAUUAACGAUGGCUUGCAGCUGAAGCCUCCAUGGCCGUCACUUGGUUGCUUCUUUGGCAAUGUGUAUCAAGUACAACCAUGGCAACCACUUCAAAGUCUGCAGCAACAAGCUGUUGCAAGUUCAUCACUGGAUGGUAUGAUAUUUGAUUCUAAUCAGUCCUUGUUUCCUUGGAAUUUGGGUGGUUGCCUGCAUGGAAAUAGAACUCGAUUGUUUGCUAUAAUUGGCACUGUUAGCAGAGACUCAUCAUCAUUAUUAUUUUGUGAUGAAUGCUUGGGAUCACCAUGGGACCCGGGACAGCUAGCACUUGUUGAGCAUGAGUACAAAAUUCACUAUUCCAAUUGUUCUGUGUUCCUGACGGUUAACACGUUGCAGAAUUCAGUGACUGCUAUAUUCAAACAAAAGCCGUGUUGUACUUGGGAGGUAUAUUUCUGUGACCAACAAUUGCAAUGUUUUGUUCAGUUGGAUUCAAUUAGGUGGGUUCAACUCAAGCACAUACCUAAGCAAUAUCUUGGAUUAGUUGCCUGUGAAGAUUUUCAGUGGGCAAUCGCAUGGUUCUUUUCAUUAGAGUAUUCAGCUGUCUACAACAAUUGUCAUGGCUUUGCCUCAACCAAGACAAGGGUACUGACUAAUAUGCAUUACAUUCAGUUAUGUGAAGCAAGAAUCAUACUGGAGCAGUGGCCCUUUGAGCUGUGCUCAUUGAUUUACAUGGUGCCAAUUGAAUUGAAGCCAUCAUAACUUCAUAUCUGAGGACAUUGCAUCAGAAGUGUGUGUUGUUUAUUCUCACAACCCCAUGAACUCUCUGGGCUACUGACAACAGGUGCUGCACAUUUUGGUUUUCUAUAUGUUUCAUGGAAAAUCGCAUGGUUGGUAGUGGCAUUGUCUUGUGCAUAUUCAGAUUUGGGAAGUGGUGAGAGUCUCAUCAACAGGUAUAAGCUACUUGACUCCAGGGAGGAAUUGAUUUCAGCUCUGUUUUUCCUAGUCCUUGUUUGCUGUGUAUCAUUACAGUCAGCAUCAAAUGGCCUGAAAUUUUAGUUUGCUACUAUUUUAUACUUGUCCAUACAACCAACCCAAGUACAUGAAAAUUGGAGUGCUGAUUCCACAGAAAUGAGCUCAUGGAUUGAUACUUGUGGCAUCCUGAAGGCUCAUCAUAUCCUGCUGGGUGUUUUGCUUAUUGGAGUGCUGAUAGUAUGGUCACAUUUCACAAAGGGGGAGGAUUGUCAGUGACCUUCACCCUUCCGGCUGGGUUGCACAGUGGGCCAUAUCGUUCAUGGGCUACGGCCUGGUAUCAAAGCACGAGCCGCAAUACAAAUACAGGGAUCUCGGCAACAAGGAGGUUGGCUAGGAACAGACUUGACGGCGGCUUCGGCCGAGGCGUGGCUUAGGGCGUGUGUUGCUUCUUCUUCCUCCUUGUGUUCCUCAUUUUCUCCAUGAAUCCUUGAGUUGUAACCAAACUAGAUGAUGAUUCAGUAAUACAAGUACUAGGUUCCUUACAUGGUCCAGGGUGGGUAGGCAGCGAUGGUCUAGGGAGGGCCGGCGGUGGUGGUCGAGGGCUGGCGGCUGGUGGACAUCUAUUUUCCAUCGUUGUGGAUACGAACGAUUUUUUGGGAGACGAAUUGUAGCAGUGAAAAUUUGAUACGGCAGUUCGUUUUAGAUCUGAACUGUAAGAGUGGGUUUAAGUUUUAUUUUUGAGCUUAGAGUGGGUUUAAGUUGUUGUUUAGUUUUCCAUCUCUAAUCUGUGCCAUUCGUUUUAGAUCUGACGGCUCAUGACGAAUUUUCACAUUUGCACCAAAAAGUCAUUUUCACUGGAUAUGUUCCCUUCGUUAAUAAUCAUAGUUGCUUAAAAAUGUAUACACAGCGUAAAUUUAUCACUACAUAAACCCCAGAAAAUGGCUUUUAAAUCGAAGAAUUACAUAUAAAUUACAUAACCGCACUAACCAUGUGCCGUUGCUUACAUCACGGUCAAAGAACACCCUAUGCACACGGUGUAUCACCGGAACACCGGCACCGGCACGGCCUUGAGCGGCGUGACCAUUUUAAGCGACGUGCCAAACCGGUCCCUGACAUCCACGUCGGAUGGCUGCAUCCCCUUGGGCAGCCUCCACUCGAAGGCGUGGAGCAGGGACGCGAGGAUCAGCGUCACCACCCUUGUGGCCAUGGGCGUCCCGGGGCAUGCCCUCCUGCCGGCCCCGAACGGCAUGAACCCCAACCGGUGAUCUUUGCUCCGGAAAUCCACGUCCGUCGCGGCCGCGCCCAGAAACCUCUCCGGGACGAACUCGUCGGGCCGCGGCCACGACGCUGGGUCACGCAUGAUAGCCCACAGGUUGACGAUCACCUUGGUGCCCUUGGGCACCGCGAAGCCGCCGACCUCCGCGCCGUUGGCCAUGGCUUCGUGCGGCAUCAGGAGCGGGCUCGCCGGAUGCAGCCGCAUGGUCUCCAUCACCACGGCACGGAGGUACGGCAGGCUGCCGAUGUCGGACUCGUCCGGGUGCUGCUUCGAGCCUAGAGCUUCCCGCAGUUCGGCACGGACUUUUGACAUCACGGCCGGUUGCCGGAGUAGCUCGGCCAUCGUCCACUCCACCGUGAUCGAGUUCGUCUCUGCCCCCGACACGAAGAGAUCCUAUACACGCAAAAAAAAAUCUGGUCAGUUUGGUUUCGGGUCAACGGUAGUUUGACCAAAUGGCAUUGAAUUCAAUCAACGACUCAAGCACACAUCUUGAAAAGAUAAAAUCCAAAAGAUCAGUCUUCUCGCAUGAGGGAGAUAUCCGUUCAAUUUUACUAAUGGCAUCGCAUCAGUAAAAUACUUCCAAUUUAUAAACUCAAAAAUAAGAGUUCAAAAUUAUAAGUUAAAAAUAUAAACUUCCAAAUUUUAGUUGCUAGCUAGUAAUACAGGUUAACAUGGCGGUAGUAUAAAUUAAAAAAAAACAAUGUAGCUAAGACAAUGAUUUGUCAGAUGUAUGAUGGAAUUCUCCAUUGCCUAUUUUGGUCUUUUGGUAAUUUUUUUAGAAAAACGAUCUGGCUUUUUUCUCCAUUGUCUAUUUUGGUCUGUUAUUGAUCAAUAACUAAAGGCCUAACAAUCCGUAGCCCGUAAUUUGAUUCCUUAGUUUAGACAUUGUUGUUUUUAGCUAGGACCAACUUUAAUUUCUUUCCAAUUUCGUGCCGUUCCAAGAACUAGAAAGUCCACCGAGACGGCAAUACGGUGGCUUGCAGGGUUUGUUUAGAUUUGUUCAAAAUUUGUCCUACCAAAUUUUGAGCCAUGUCUACGGGCCGUAUCUAGAAAUUUAAGGCCCAGUACCAAAUCUAAAAUGAGGGCGUACAUGGAUUGGAUGAAGCGAGCAACUAGCAGUUUGUUUGCAAAUAUUUUAUUUAUAUAUAUACUCUGCGACUCAAGUCUCGAGAAGACGUUCCUGUGAAUGUGCGUGCGUUUGUGACUGUCGAUACGUGUGCACUUACGUUGUACGGGAUGGAUUAACGGCUUUUGAUAACCAAAACAGUCAAGAUGGCAACGUACUUACUAUUGUUUGUACGGACUAUGAAAACGACUGAUUACAUACCGAAAGAAAUGAAUUGAUCGUCUGAAGGCUGAGCUGAUCCUCGGAGUGAAGCUGGAGCAGCACGUCCAAAAAGUCAUCUUUCCUUCCACCUCGGCCGGUUUCCAUGCGGCGACCGAUGAUCCGGUCGAAGAAGUCGCUAAACCGUCUCAGGCGCCCCGCGGUCCGCCGCCGGCGUCCCUGCAAGUCCAGCGCGGAGAGCACGGGGAAGAGGUCCGACAAGUUGGGCUUGGUGACCUCCUCGACCAUGCCUUUAAUAAGCGUCUCCAGCUCCUGCGCCCGGUCGGAGCUCACGUCGGCCACGUCCUCUGAGAAGAGCACGUUGGACACGAGGUUGAGGACGCCCGAGAACACGACGCGGCCGACGUCCACGGCCUCCCCCGCGUGCGCUACGCGGCCGAGGCAGCGCACCAGCUCCCGCACCUUGCGCUCCCUCACGGCGCGCGUCGCGUCGAGGCCGCGGGCCGAGAAGAGGUGGCUGGCGCACACGGCGCGGAGCCGCUUCCACAGCGGGCUGGUGCAGGGAAGCCAGAUGAUGGAGCGCUCGUGGUUGCCGAGCGCGCGCCCGGCGUCUGUUAUGGAGCGCGCCGCGAGCAGGUGGUCGUGCUUCUGCAGGACGUCACGGGCGCCCGCCGCGGAGGAGGCCACGAUGGCGGCCGCCGUGCCGAGCUUCAGGGACAUGACGGGGCCGUACACCCCCGCGAGCCUCGCCAGGGCGUGGUGCGGCUCCUCGCCUUGCAGGUGGAAGAUGUUGCCGAGGAGAGGGAUCGGCGCUGGGCCCGGCGGCCGCCGUGCCCGUGCAUUGCUGGAGCAUGUCUUCGGGCUGUUCUUGCUGGAGACGAAGACUUUGUAUAGGACGCAAGAGGCAGCUAAGAUGUAGAGGAGCCAUAGUGUUGUGGAAGCUUCCAUCUUCGAUUUUUUAGCGAGUUAGGAACUUCGAUGUGCUAUGGCGCACUGUUGUUGAAUCAAUUGAGCGGUACGGUCUCUUAUAUAGUGGCGCAAGCAUUUUAUUUGGACACAUAAAACUAGGCAAAACCUAAAGAUCUCAGCUUAAUAAUAGUCGCCGAUGAUCGUAAACAAUUCUUAACCACCUUUCUCCAGCUGAAUUUGAGUAUCUGGAUUUGAAAUUGCCUACAACUUGAUCGACUUAUAAAUAUACUAUUCCCUCCUACCCAUAUUAUUUAUCUCAAAUUUGCCCAAAUAUGAAUGCAUCUAUGUUUAAAAAACGUCUAGAUACAUGUAAUAUUCCGACAAGUAAUUCCGGUCAGAGGGAGUAACUAUUUUCUCAAACAAUAUGGAAUAGUAAUCUCUGAACUAAUAACUAAAUUUAUGUACAUUGAGAUGAACACUGACUCUUUAUACAACAAACAUUGAGUUGAAGAAUAUUUUAGAAACGCUGUACAAUUUGGUCAAAUAGAAAUCCAAAAAUAAUACUCCCUCCGUCCAACAAAGGAUGUCUCAACUUUGAUCAAAUUUGAAUGCAUCCAUACACUAAGUCAUGUCUAGAUACAUUAAAAUUUUGACAAACUUGAGACAUCUUUUGUUGGACGGAGAGAGUAAUGAAAUUUAUGUAAAAUGAACAAAAUAUAAAAUAAAUAUAUGGAAUAGAUAGUUAGAAAGAUUUACACCCGCAUAUCGGACAGAUUCAACAGGAGAGGGAGGAAUGGAAGGUUUCUUCAGUAUCUUCUUGUUCAGUGUUACCGAAUUGGAGCAUCCGUAUCGUUGUAGCAUUUCGGUAACACUAGACAAAAAACUAUGAAUUAAAACAAGUCUUGUGUAGUGCACCAAUGCAAAAUGUCACAAUAGCAACGAGGUGUAGUAAGAGUAAAGUGGUGAGUGUGAAGCUUGAAUAUAGCGCACACUACAUAAUUCCACAUAUUAUUUUUGGAUAUCAUGAAGUCGUCUUAGUAAUGAAAGACUAAAUUCAUAAACUUAAACUCACUAAUACGUAUGUUGAAAGAGUACUUAUGGUGGCAUGAGAAUAUAAUAGGAGUAUCAUCGUUGUACCUGAGCUAUAUAUCUACUAGGUAAAAAAGCUUAGUUACGACGAUGAGUUUACGAUGCACGUGGGUGUCCGAGGAAAUACAUCCCGAGGUUACACCAGAUACCUCAUUCAUGUUUGUUACUCAGUGUCACCGAAAUAAAACAUCGCUACUUAUAAAAUACUGAGGGUUGUACCACAUUGACUGUAAACAUGAAACGUACGUGAAACGAAUAGUAAGUUUCAGACAUGAUCAAGGGCAACUAUUUGUAAAUCUGCGUGAGUCUAAAGAAUCCAAGCAAUGUUCAAGACCUGCACCGCAUCCAUGUUACCUGUUGGAAACAGCAAGUGUUUGAUUAUUGACUUGCCUCUGACUUUUUGAACAUACGAACAUGUUCCCCGGCCGCCCAUCCAACCACCCAGCAGAGGAUUCCCGGCCGUGUGAUUGGAUUGGAUCAGAGAGCUUAUCUGCCUCCAGCACACUAGCAAACGCCUCUCGUUUGAUUUUUUUAAAGCGGGGGGAGUGCACGAACACGAUGGCAAUACAAUACGAGCUCGCCCACCGGCCACCGGCCUAGCGGAGUCGUCUGAUUGAGUUGAGCGGAGACGACGGCAGCCGUGUCGCGCGCCGGCGCGCGUUGCGGAAGCCGACAUCGCGAGUUGAAGUAAACAAACGCGCGGGCGGCGGCAUGCUCUCUGACUCUGCCACUCACUGCCGGUGAGAGUAAAAAUACUUGGGCCAGUUUCUCGGUGGAACUGGAGUACUACUGGAGAACGACAGUAGAAUCACAAGAAGAUUAGCGGAUAGGAGCUGACAUAACGAGAUAAACCACUUGCCCCCAGUUGAGUUUUUCUAUCCCACAUGUGUCACUUAAAAUUAGCACAGUUGCAAAUCAGCCAGCAGGAAAAAGCUGGCAUGGGUAGUCAGCUGGAAACAAAGGUUGACGGCAAGGAAAAGCCCUGCGUAACUGCGUAAGCGGGGGAUGAGUACACACGCUAUCUCAAUAGAUGGCUUCCGGAUAGGCUAUUCGAAAUAAAAGUAUGUUUUUUUUUUCAAAUGAGUUUGGCGAAAGAGGUUUCUCGACUGGGCUCUGGGCUCGCCCAUUUUGCAACAAAUGGCAUAUGGGUUUUGGACCCAUUUGCUAACAUGUUCUGGAUGUGGCCGAAUUUGAGUUCCCAGGAUAAGGCCUUCCUUGUUCACGUGAAUUGGAUUUUUGUAGGACUGUAAUUUUUGGGAUAGACUUUUCUCUGUAUCAUUCCAGUUUUAUUGGAUGUACCCGAAGGGACUUGGGAUAUCUUUUUCUAUUUACGUUAUGCGAUUUGUCAGAUUGUAGUUCGUAGUUUUCUUUUUAAAAAUUCUCCUUUGCAUAAAUAGGAACAUAUUGGAAAAAUUCCUAUGGCCAUUACAAAUGCUAAGUCUUACGGCUGAGAGAGAAGGAGGUUAGCCUCCAUCACACAAGGAUUGUAUGCUUGGUUUUUGUGUUGUUUUCCUGACUUGCAUUAUCUUUUCUGUAGCUACUCUGUGCAAUUCUUUUUUUUAAAGCUACUCUGUGCAAUUUGUUUUUUGUAUACAGGCCAUGCAAAGAAAAAAACUUACACCUGUAAUGACAAGUGUACAGGAAUGCUCACUACAUCUAUCUUUGUUUACAACAAACGGAAGAAGUAUUUGAAAUCGGGGUAGAGCAAUAAAUCCAAACGCUUCAAACACGUCUCUAUUCUAUUAGGGUGUCUUUGGUUUGAGCCCAAAGUUGACCUACCAAAAAUUUGCCUAGCCAAAUAAUUGCUUAUGAUUUUGCUAGCCCAUGAGUUAGCCAAUUUUGGCCAAAACAUUAAACUAGAAUUGACUAUGGGACAUUAGCUAGCCAAAUAUUUGGUCACCAUCCAAACAAACACCAAAUUUUGGUUAACGAUCAAAAAUUUGGCUUGGUAUGUUUUGGAUCUAGUCCACAAUUUUAUGUCAAAACGACAUAAAAUUAAAAAAAAACUUAUCAUUCCAGAACAUGGUAUAAUUCCGUAGUGUGAAUAUUUAAUUCUAUUUUUUUUGUAGACGUGCAUUUAUAGCUUCCAAUUGUGCUGGUGAAGUGUAUAUGUGUAGUGUGGUCUAUUAAUUCUGCGUUUCUAAGAAACAAUCGUGCUGAUUUUUUUAUUACCUUUACAAUGUUCUAAUACAACAUACAAGUAACACAUACUGCUCCAUUCAACAAAACACCGCAUAUAAAUUUGUGCACUUUGAGUUUUCGGUCAAUACAACCUGGAUUCUAGUACCUAACCACUCAUAUUGGAUUAAAAGUAAAAUGUGCGUGAACAGUUAUUGGCUCCGUGCGGAAGCCAAGAGAGAAAUGAAGUAUAUGGAACAAAUGAUAAUUUUUUUUUGAAACGGAGGGAGUAUAUCAUUUCGGUUUUGCUAGAGAGAAGUCGGCUGAUUUUUAGUUAGAGAUAAAUCAACGUGUUGACCGUUAGAUCUUAAUUCAAUGUCAGUGUGUGGGAGGUGAGAAAAUAGGGAUGACAUCUACAUUUAAUCCAACGGUUCAAAUGCGUCGACUGAGAUUCAAGAUAUUUUUCUCAUAAAUCAAUCGACUAAGAAAUAGCCACGCCCGUAUCAUUUAUUGAGAGCUUUUUAAAUUGAUAUUUUUAGCGAGACAUCAUACGCAAUAAAUAAUCAAAGAAAAUGCAGGGAACGCGCAAUUCACAGGUCCGAUCACGAAGUCAAAUCUUCCGUGCGUUCCACCGGAAUCGGCACGGCCCAGAGAGGAGCGGCGAGCUCCAGCGCGGCGCCGAACCGGUCGCUGAGGUCAACAUCGCCGGGCACCAUGCCGUCCGGCAGCCUCCACUCGAACUCGUGGAGCAGCGACGCCAGCACCAUGGGCACGACCGCCACGGCAAGCGGCAUCCCGGGGCACGCCCUCCGGCCCGACCCGAACGGUAUGAACUCGAACGCCCUCCCGCGGAAGUCCACCUCCCUCCCCAAGAAUCUCUCCGGCGCGAACGCCUCCGGCUCGUCGCCCCACGCCUCGGGGUCCCUCCCGAUCGCCCACGCGUUGAUCAGGACGCGGGCGCCCUUGGGCACCGAGAAGCCCCCCAGCGUCACGCCGGGUUCCGACACCUCGUGCGGCAGCAGCAGCGGGCCCGCCGGGUGCAGCCGCAGCGUCUCCUUCACCACGGCCUGGAGGUACGGGAGGCUGGCGAGAUCGCCUUCCUCCGCUCUGCCCGAUCCGAACGCUUCCCUGAGCUCGGCGCGCGCCUUGGCCAUUUUGGUCGGGUUGCGCAGCAGCUCCGCCAUAGCCCACUCCACCGUGGUCGUCGUCGUGUGGCUCCCGGCGAUGAACAGAUCCUGAUUCAAGUUUAAUCGUGAGAAUUAAUCAAUCCCAUGAUUCCUUGAUCGUGUCGGAGAAUGUGAAGUACUCCGUGGUACCGUUAAGAGAGCUCUGAUCACCGGCCGCUCCAGCUGUGACUUGGCGUGGAGCUCGAGCAGCGAGUCCAGCAGGUCGCCGUGCUUCUCGGCGCCGCUGCUCAGCCGACGGUCUAUGAUAGCGUCAAAGAACUGGUAGAAUUUAGUGAGAUUCGCCGUGACCGCGGCGCGGCGGCGGCUGAGGUCGAACGCGCUGAGGAAAGGAAAAAGGUCGGAGAUGUUCGGCUUGGCCGUCUCCGCGACGGAGUCGGCGAUGAGCUCCCUGAACUCCUGCCCCUUGAGCGACGACGACGACGAAGACCCCAGCUCGACGAGGUCCUCCGAGAAGAGGACGCUGGACAUCAUGUUGAGCACGGCGCUGAACACGGGGAGCGCCACGCGCACGGGCCCGCUCGCGCCGCGGAAGUGGGCCACGAGCUCCCGGGCCUUGCGCUCCUGGAUGGGCCGGCUGGCGCCGAGCCGCCGGGACGUGAAGAGCAGGGUGCUCGCCACGGUGCGCAGGUGCUUCCACAGGGGGCUGGAGCUCGGGAGCCACACCAUGGAGAUGCCGCUGUGGCCCAUGACGUUGGCGUUGUCGGGGACCCACCGGUCGGAGACGGCGCCGUCCUUCUUGUGGAGCGCCUCAUGCGCUGCCGCCGGGGACGACAGCACCACGGUGGUCGCCGUGCCGAGCCUCAUGGACAUGACGGGGCCGUAGGUCUCCGACAACCGAGCGAGCGCGCGGUGCAGCUCGCCGGCGCGGAGCAGGUCGGGGAUGUUGCCGAUGACCGGGUACGGCGUUGGCCCCGGCGGCGCAGGCGCGCCGGCGGGGGGGUUGGUUGCCUUGUUCCAUAGGUAGCACAGCAGGGAGAUGCAGAGCAGUGAGAUGCACACUGACGAGAGCGUCAGAUCCAUAAUGGAACGCAAGAUCUGAAGAUGAAUUUUGAAGUUUUUGACUAAAGCAGGUUCCGUAGCCAAGCUGCCAACGUGAGUUAUCUAUGUCUGCAGAUCUGCACAUUAUUUGCCUGAAUUGUAUAUUUUCACAAGUUGCAAAGGCGUAAAUAAGUUGUUUCGAUCAAGUUGGGAAAGAAAAUGGUUCUGCGUCGCAGAGUCCUAGGGGUGGGUGUCGUCGGGUGCGAUCCAUCGGCUCUGGGCGUGCUUGCUUUGGUCGCGUCUUGGAGAGCUCCAUGAUCAUUAAGAAAGUGGAGGGCAGGUAUCAUGGCAUGCCGACCUCGCAGACGGACUUCACAGGAGCCUAACAUGAUGUUGAAAAUCACAUCGUCCUGCAUGUAAGAUCUCUGCAGCGGAUCAAUAACCCGCGUCAUCUUUGGCGGCCGAGGAGACAAUUGAACUUGUGCCUAUAUUUUUUUGACCGCCAUUUUUGGCAUCACUAGGAGGAAGAACCGUUCUGUGCACGAUGAUAUUAUCGAGGGGGCUUAGGUCUGCGUUUUAAGAGGCAAGAUCUCCAAUGCGGUUCAACUCGAUGAGUUUGUUCCCUUUGGUUGAGACUUCAAGGUGUGGUCCUAAAUCCUGACUCCUCCGAUUUCAUCAUUUGGCGUUGGACCUCGCAUGGCUCCUAUACCUCCAGCUCGGCGUACAAGGCUCAAUUCCUCGACUCCAUCCAUGCCCAACACGCUAACACAGUCUGGAAAACCAAGGCCGAAAACAAGUGCAAAUUCUUCGUCUGGCUUCUUGUGCAGAACAAGAUCCUCACCGCCGACAAUCUCGCCGUCAGGGGCUGGCCGCACACUCCUGGAUGUUCCCUUUGCACUGAUCCUCAUGAGACCAGCACACACAUUUUCCUUCGAUGCCUCUUUGCUCGCCAGGUGUGGGAAAAAAUCCUUGACCACUACAAUUUCAACAUCCUUCGGCAGGUCAAGCCUUCUGACUACAGAAACACCUGUGCCUGGUGGAUUCAAGUCUCCAAGACGAUUGACAAAUAAAGAAGACAAUAUUUCAAUGGGAUGAUCAUUUACAUCAUGUGGGACAUUUGGAAGGAGCGCAACCGCCGUAUCUUUCAGACCGUGGCAGCUCCUGCUUUUGUUGUCGCGUCGCUUGCCCGUGACGCAAUUGAUACCCAUAGGCUUGCUUUUCAUUGCAUGACCGUGCCGUGAGGUUUCUUGUGGUUCUUCGGUGUUUUCUGUCCGUCCUACCGGCUAGCUGCGUUUUGUCCGUUGGGAUAGUCUUUCUCUGUUUCGUCUUUGGUUUUUUUCCUUGUUUCGGUCUCGGUCGCAUGUACAUAUAUUUGGUUUUUUCCUUUUAAUAUUGCACGUCAGAGCUCUGCCUUCCACGGAAAAGAAAAAUUGCAAACGUGAACGCAACUAGGCAAGGGUGGGCGUUCUUGGGCGGAGUCGCAGUUGUCUACUGUUUCUGGAAACUCUGCUACUUCGCUACCGGCAUAAUAUCACAAAUCGAUCCAUAAAAAGGCGCCAUUUUGUUGAUCGCGUCUUUGGGGAGCUCCAUGUCAUGUGAGCAUUGAGAAAUUGGAGGUCCAGUAUCAUGGUCAGGCUGUGCAGUUGGACAUCCGAGCUCAGCUCGCCAGCCCGGGCCGAGCCAGCGGCGUCUCGGUCUGACUCAGUCCGAGCCCACCCGAAAGCCGAGCUACCAAAAUACACCUUCGGUUUCUUAAUUUAUGGUGUAUAUUGUUUUAUUUGACCGAAUGUUUGACUAAGGAUUACUCCAUCGAUGUGUAACUUAUGUGAUACAAAUCAUAGCUAUAACCAAGUAUUUUCGAAUAUGAAUACAAUGGUAUCAAUUUUAUUACAGAAAAAGUAUAUAUUUAAUAGACUGAUCCUUGAUCAAAGGUUCGGUCAAAAGAAACAAUAUAUGACUUUUUUGAUACAAAUCAUAGAUAUAAGCAAGUAUUUUUUAAUGUGAAUACAAUGGUAUCAAUUUUAUUACGGAAAAAAUAUAUAUUAAUAAACUAAUUCUUGAUCAACUACUCGGUCGAAUGAAACAAUAUAUGACUUAAUUUAAAUUUUUUUUAGAGCAAUAUGACUUAAUUUAAUGAACAGAGUAGCCUCGUUUGACCUUUGGGCCGAGCCAGGGCUCUGCGCGGUCGAGCCCGCGAGCCUGCAGCCCACCAAGUCACCAACACACAUUUGCACUUGCACUCGCACCGUCCAGCCCACCACACCGUCUAGUCCACGCGAGUUAGGGCACAGGCUUUCCCGAUUCGUUCGUUCUUCUUCUAUCUCCCCCCGCUGCCGCCACAGCUCGCAACCCGCCGCCGCCCGCCUGCGCCUGCGCGCCUCCGUUGGCAACCUGAGGCUGAGGAGGCUCCUUCCCAUUCGCCCGCGGCCCAAGCUGCGUGCCACGCCGCCGCCGUCGCGCCCGCCUGGUGGGGAAGAAGAUGACGGCGGUGCCGCAGUGGGUAGAAGAUGCCGCCUGCUGGUUUGCUGUGCCCCUUUUUUUUUUAACAACGAUAUGGUUUUAUUUAUUCAACAAACUUAUUAUAACUGAAAAAACUAAAACGACAACAAAGAUUUCGGAUAUACCGAAGUUUACGUCAAAAAUCUUUGAAGCCAACUUCUCUAGCUGCGUCAAUCACAUCUUGAUAUUUCUCCAAAUUUCUGGUGACAAAUUAGUAGAAGACCAAACCUGUAUAAGCUGGACUCACCUUGUAGGUUUUAGUGAGCCGCAUGAGCCGCCCAUCACAGGGGGUGAGAAUUUAAUAUCGUUGAACGCGUGGUGGCCGGGGACACAUCCCUCGCAAGACAGGUUGUCGAACCAUUAAAUCAUCGUCCAACCGAUAAGGAAGAAGAUCAAAAUUACGAAAUUACGAGCCAUGAGAUCCCAAAACUCCAUGGAGUAGAAUACGAUAGCCACGCCAGAAGGGGAUGGAGCUGGGAGACCAUUAAUCCACACGUCGUUGGCUCCGCCGUCAGGACAUCGCCGCCAAGGACACAGAAAACUUUACAACGAAGGUACUAAAACGAUGCCAGAUGUUGAUCCGUUGUUCCCCUCACCUCCUGAUGGCCGGCCAAUAAGAUAUCGGACGCGACGGGAACUGACGAAGAUGGAAACGGGAUUUUCUCCAGGUUUUUCCGUCUCGUCUCACGGGAGAGGAGAUUCUUCUGCUCUGCUGUGCCUGUGCUGCACUCCCCUGCGCGCCAGCUGACGGGCCGGCGAUGGGCCACUGGAUGUGCAGUAUGCAAGGAUGGGUGAUGGGCUUAUGGGCUUAUGGCUCUGCGAUUUUAUUAGAUCGGCUGACAACCAAUCUGCGGACUCGUAAAUCCAUAUCCAAGUCUAAGUUAAGACGUAUUAGGCUUUCCUACCAGAUGAUCGGCCCAAUUGAGCCGCUUGUGCGGGAGCGUACAGAAGAGGCCGCCUCUCACAACGAGGCUAGCCCGUUCGCGCACUCAUUGUUGGAGUUUGAGACCGGCCCAGUGCGGGCGGCCACAAUAGACUGUGUGGUCGCCGACGUAUGCACGGCGCGACUCCCUUCCCCAGUCGUUGGUCGCGGUCGCCGCGCGGCGUAGCAACAGUUCCCCAGUUUCCCGUUUCCCUCGUCCUCACAGAUUAUAAAGCACCUCUCGCUCGCCUCGACAGCUUCGGCAAACGCUUCCCCUUUCGGCUUGCCCAUGCCAACGGGGCCCCACAUGGAUCUCGAGGCGGGGCCUCGCGGCGGCGGCCCGGCGACCACCCCACCACCACCGGCCGGCAGAGAGACCGACGUGAGUAAGCAGGAGAAACUACCCGCCCUUUGUUCAUUUUACUCGCUUUUGGUGUUUUUUUUUUGGUCGAGUUCUCUGCAUCAAUUGGUGGUUUGGGCGAGCUGUCGCCCCGUGUUGUGUUCGUAUGCGCGGCAAACUUUGCGAUCGAAAGGUUUGAUUUAAGAUUUGUAGGUUUAAGCCGUUAGGCGUUAGCAUUUAGUGGAUUUUGCUGUACCUUUUGGAUGGCGACUGCACGAGAGAAGAAUAUGCAUAUUACCGCAUCUGCAUGCGUAUAGUAGCGAAGCCUGUUUGGGGGUUAAUUUAUGGCCAAAGUGGUGGGGACUUGUUCGUCUACUGAAAUUUUCUGAAUGCUUUUUUUUAUUGCGAAAAUUUCUCAAUGGAAUUUGGUGGGGGCUUGUCUCAGUUAUCAAAAGGAACAAAAAAUUGAUGGGGAUUUGCACUUGUAGUCGCAGAUUGUGUUGGAUUAUUGACAGCUCCGGCCGUGCAUGCCGAAUUGCCAAUGUCAUGUACUCCCUCUGAUCCUAAAUUCUUAACUCAAAUUUGUUCAAAUAUGGAUGUAUCUAUUCUUAAAAAGCGUCUAGAUACAUGUAAUAUUUUGAUAACAAUUUAGGAUCGGAGUGAGUAGAAUUGGCUCAAUCACUCGACCGCGGCGACCGCUGCGCAAAUCACUGUGCCAGCACGUGCCUAUUUCCAAAUUCUGUGAUGAUCUGUGCCGAUGACAACCACGUCAAAUCAUGUUGUCGCCUUGCAAUGAGCAGCUUAGAUUUCUCUUCUGUUUUGUACAUUUUCCGUGUGCCGUUGGACAGUGGGAUUUGUGAUAGCGGAAUAGUCUAAGGCAUGUAACACCACGCAAGUUGUUUCUCUUGACCUACUGGGCCAUAGAACCAGGGAAUCUUUUCAUUUCAUGCUACGUUUAUUCUGGAUGGUGCUAUAGAUUUUUCAGUCAUGUCCAUCCUAUAUACUAUCCCUGAGUUUUAGGAGUCCAUAUCUUUCAGUUGAAGAUUUGAGCAGAGGUUGUAAGCAUCUCUGUGUGAAAAAAAUUACUACCGCUAUUCCUUCAGUAUGAAACAUGCAUGGUAGCUAGGUGGAUUCCUGGGUCGUUACUUGUAAGCAACUAAGGAUAUCAGUUUGCAUUGAGAGACACAACAACCAACAAGAUUCCCUCCUUUAUUUCAUUUGCAAUAUAUGUGGUCAUUUUCCAUCAUUUUUUGACGGGACACAUCCAUCAUUUUUUUUCUGAAUCUUUAAUUUCUUAAGCUAUCCGUCCCUUUAAGAACAAGAGAAAAUUCAGUGUUAUUGAGGAUGGUUUUGCUGAUGAUGUCACAAUGGAUUACAUUUCCGUCAUUUCGGGCUUCAUUUUUCAUAUCACGGAAGUCUCUGAAACUGCCACACCAAAAGUUCAUGUUCACAUUUGUCAUAAGCUCCACAUGGUCAACUUGUUUGGAAUGGGACCAAUGACAUUCUCAGCACAAUUUAUUUCAAGCAUUAAAAAUGGACGUAUUUUGGACUUUGCUUGACUCCAUUGACGUGAUAUGCAGCUCUAUAUGAUCUGUUUGUACAUGUCUCUUCUUUAUGUUCCAAGAACAAAACUGAAUUUCAUCUGUCUGGUUCAUUCUUCCGUUAACUGUGAGCAGGUUGGCAAUGUCCGCAAAAAUCUGUUCCUUGCGUACAAGACUCUUGGUGUUGUUUUUGGUGGCCUUGUUACUUCUCCCCUCUACGUUUAUCCCUCAAUGAACUUGUCAUCUCCCACAGAAGCGGACUACCUUGGAAUAUACAGCAUAAUGUUCUGGACUCUUACUUUAAUUGGCGUCGUCAAGUAUGUAUGCAUAGCUCUCAGUGCUGAUGAUCAUGGUGAAGGUAACUAACCCCUUGCUAUUUCCACCUUUCCUUUUCUUUGAGCGGUUAUUGCUGCCUUUCUGGAUGAUUGUUAAAAUUUACAAUAGCUUGGAUGACAUUAUUUUAAGUACUAGAAUUAAAAGAUAAGUAGAGUAACUAGAAGUUAGUAAUCAUGUGACAGAACAAAAAGCUUGUAUCCCUAUGGAGAUGGAGGGCAAGGACUCUAGAUCCUCCUGGACCUAGGUUCAGCCCAAGCUUUCCAAAAAAUUUAUGUUGAUGAGAUAUUCAAGUAUUUGUGGCGUUUGCAUAUAUGUUCAGAUUGAUUUAUUUCCUAACCUGUAUAGUAUUAUUCCCAUCACUAUCCAACCUAUGAGUUAUGCAGUGUAGAUGCUAUGAUCUUUUAAUAUUUGUAUAGCCUCAUUGAAAGGGAAAUAUUUAAAUGAACUGUAAGCCUGGAAGAGGUGGAACUUACUGCUUUCUUGGAAUAUAAGCUUUAAUUUCUGGAUAUAGAUCAAAUGUUUUGCUUUAUAAUGUUAUCUGCAUGGAAUGUUGCUUAGUCUACUUUUUGCAGGUGGUACAUUUGCUAUGUAUUCUUUGUUGUGUAGGCAUGCCGAUAUAGGCAUCCUUCCUUCCAAGAGAGUGUAUUCAGAAGAUCCACUGCUUCAUGAUCAGUCAACGGUAGCUAGAAAGCCUAGUAAGCUGGGGAAGUUCUUUGAGCGAAGCAUAACUGCAAGAAGGGUAUUGUUAUUCAUGGCAAUUCUGGGGAUGUGCAUGCUCAUUGGAGAUGGAAUACUAACUCCUGCUAUUUCAGGUUUGUUUAUUUGUAGAUGACAUAUAUAAAAUUUAAUCAUUUUUGUGAUCAAAUAGUUAGUUAACAUUUUCUUUGUCUCUGUUCAGUGCUAUCAGCAAUUGAUGGACUAAGAGGACCAUUUCCUUCUGUUAGUAAACGUAAGCGGCUAAAUAGAUGUUGUAGCUAAUGAGUUAUGAAAGAACCUUCUGAUGACACUUUUCAAUGACAUUGAUACUGUUUGAAUCUUCCAGCUGUUGUGGAUGUGCUGUCUGCAGCCAUUCUUAUUGGCUUAUUCUUGCUGCAAAAGUAUGGGACUUCAAAAGUGAGCUUUCUGUUUUCUCCAAUCAUGGCAGCAUGGACUUUCACCACUCCAAUCAUUGGAAUAUACAGCAUUUUCCAUUACUAUCCUGGCAUCUUCAAAGCCAUUUCGCCACAUUAUAUUGUUCAUUUCUUCCUAAGAAAUAAAAGGCAAGGGUGGCAAUUGCUUGGUGGGACUGUUCUAUGUAUCACUGGUACAUCACAUUUACAUGCCCAGGUUGUCAGGUUUGUUCAUUUUUCCUGACUCUGAUCAUUCGGCCUAAUGUGUGAUCUUUUGCUACAGGCGCAGAAGCUAUGUUUGCAGAUCUCGGCCAUUUCAGCAAAAAGGCAAUUCAGGUUAUUAUCAUUAAGAAAUACCAGCAUGAUCAUUUCCUGACUUCCUGUGAAUUGUUUUCUAUGGUAUAGCUAGUUAUGGUUCAUUAUUAUUUUUCAGAUAGCAUUUCUAUCCAGCAUAUAUCCUUCUCUGGUCCUCACAUAUGCCGGGCAAACAGCAUACCUUAUAAACAAUCUCAAUGACUUCAGUGAUGGAUUUUACAAAUUUGUCCCUCGCCCCGUGUACUGGCCGAUGUUUGUCAUUGCGACACUAGCAGCAAUAGUUGCAAGCCAAUCCUUAAUAUCCGCAACGUUUUCUGUCAUCAAACAAUCAGUUGUCCUGGACUACUUUCCGCGUGUUAAAGUGGUGCACACAUCGCAACAAAAGGAAGGGGAGGUUUACUCUCCAGAAAUUAAUUACAUUCUGAUGGUAUUGUGUGUUGGUGUUAUCCUAGGCUUUGGUGGUGGGAAGGAGAUAGGGAAUGCUUUUGGUAAGGAAAUUCUGCAAAACUAAUGUUCCAGUUGUUAAUAUACAGCUACUUUGUACCUGAAGACUCGAUGCAUAAUUCUUACCACAGGUGUUGUUGUCAUCAUGGUCAUGCUCAUAACUACAAUCAUGCUCACUCUUGUGAUGAUCAUCAUAUGGAGAACACCGCAUGCUCUUGUUGGGCUUUACUUCGUUCCGUUUGUGAUCAUGGAAGGGUCCUAUGUCAGUGCCGUUUUCACCAAGAUCCCUGAAGGAGGCUGGCUUCCUUUUGCAGUUUCCAUGAUCCUUGCAUUGAUCAUGUUCGUCUGGUACUAUGGUAGGCAAAGGAAAACAGAGUAUGAAAUGGCGAACAAGGUAACCCUGGAGCGCCUUAGUGAACUCUUGGAAAUGCCUGAGGUUCAGAGAGUCCCGGGAUUGUGCUUCUUCUACAGCAACAUACAGGACGGGCUAACUCCUAUUCUUAGCCAUUACAUCAAGAACAUGAGCUCACUGCAUACAGUGACAAUCUUUGUCACUCUAAGGUACCUGUUGGUUUCCAAAGUAGAUCAACAGGAAAGGAUCCGGAUCAAGAGGCUCGGCCCCAAUGGGGUGUACCAGUGCACCGUUCAGUAUGGCUACGCUGACAAUCUCAGCCUCCAGGGUGGCGACGACCUUGUGGCGCAGGUCACAAGAUGCCUGCAACGGCACAUCAAAACGAGCACCGACCGACAGUCGCCUGCUUCCAUUGAGGAAGAGAUCGCUCAAGUUGAGGCAGCGAGGUCGGCUGGGGUGGUGCAUGUCCGGGGCAAGAUGAGGUUCUAUGUGGGCAGCGACGCUGGCUGUUUCGACAAGGUCAUGCUCCGGUUCUACGAGUUCUUGCAUGGCAUCUGCAGGUCAGCCCUGCCGGCUCUCGGGAUGCCUCUGCAGCAGCGAGUUGAGAUAGGCAUGUUGUACAAGGUUUGACGCCCUAUUAAUCAAUUGGGUUGUGUGUUGUCGUUUGUUUGAGUCGUUGUUGAUGUUCAUCGAUGAAAAAACAUGUGUUCAGGCGUUCAGCCGAUACGAUACGUCGAUACAUACAGGGAACUUGUAACUGAAAUGCCGGAAGCCCGGAUGGGAGAAAACUUGACAAAAAUGCUGGGACUGCGGGCAGUAUCCUGUUGGCUAAGUUUACAUGUUCAUGCAUUCGUGAUAUGCAACAAGCUAUCGUACGAAACCUUGUUUCCUAAGGAGUAUGUUAGUAAAGCGGGUUGCGAAAGGUAGGCGGUCACGAGGACAAAUAAUUUGCAUCCGAUUGUCUCAGUCUCUCUAUGGGACAAAUAAUUUGCAUCCCAUUGUCUCUCUAUGGACCUUAGCAAAGAGUCCUAGAUUGUCCCUUUGGCGUUUGUAGUAACAGAAUUUCAAAAAUAGAAACAAUUAGUAGUAACAGGUGGUGGUUCUGGCAUCAGGUCUUACUCCCUCCAAGUGUCUCGGAGUUAGUAACUAAGUAUGAGACACUUAUUAUGAAUCCGAUGGAGUAUUUGUUUGGAUUUAUGCUUCAUCUAGUGGAAUUAUUCAGACGACCAUCUCUUCUGAGGACGAUAGAUGGUGAAAUAAAAAACGUCUUGGUCGAUUGAUGUAAAAGACAAAUUGUUACAGUAGCGACACUAAAGCUUAGAUGGCGUGAUUGGUGGAAAACAAGGCUCCAAAAGCGACGGGUAAAAGCGAGAAAGUAGGAGAUACUGUCUGCAAUUUGCGCAUCCUUUCCCUUGUUGCAAACAUAGCACUCGCUGUAGCCCUUUUUCAGAAGAAGAAAUCAGAAAACAGGCUGCUGUAGCAGUUCACUGAUUAGCUGCCGGUAGAUGGUCGAUGCAGGUGUUAGCAGACUGAUCGCAUGGGUACCGUGGUCCAUUUUUCCUAACCGAGGACGUUUACAGUGUAGUGCAGUUCCAGAACGUUUCAGGUCAAGACAACUGCAGUCCAGACAUGGAGCCUGCCAGCCACAAAUAAAUUGCACUCCCGGGUACUCCAGCCUCCAGCCUUUUCCGUCUAAGAGGAAAAACUAAGAAUCGACUGCUAAUUUAAUUGCACAUCUAACAUCUUUUCUGAGAGAUUCCUUGUUUUUUCUAGUUGCUCUGUUUGAGAAAAAGAAAUUAAAUCGACUGCAGAUUGCUAGUAUAACAUCUUUUAUGAGAGAUUUUUUUCUUCUUUUUUCUGGCUGCUCUAUUCGAGGGGAAAGAAAACUAACAAUGGACUGCUAAUUGCUCAUGUAACAGCUUUUAUGAGAGAUUUCAUUUUUGUAGCCAUGUAUGCAUGGUCCAAUCCAAGGCCGCAUCCACCAUUCCACCUACUUGAAUUAUGAUAGAGAAUCUCUGCUUCUCCGUUGAACCGAUGACUUUGGGGGCAGUAGGUAAACUUGCUUUUGGUUGCUGUUCUAGGCGCCCAAAUUUUGCAGCGACCCGUCCUUGGUUUUAUUACGUGGAGCCCUUUUCCUUGGAUUUGUCUCACCUUGUCACAUGUAUGGGCAGCAAUAAUUUAGCCCACUUCUAAAAAAAGCAACAGUAGCAAGUAGGCAAUUAACCUCCGUUUCCAUUGAAAAUCAAAACCCUUAGCUUUCACACCAAGGGUAACUUUGGGCCCUUCAGAAAAAGGAGGAGCUUCUGUGGGGCAAGCAGAAGAAUGGAACUGCUGGAAUCAAAUUUAUGCACCAGUUUGAAUGGGAAUGCAUGAGCAGGAACUUUUGUGUUACAUGUCACUUCAAUGGGAUGUUAAUUUUUUUUAAAACCAAGCAGACUUUAAUUUGCAUAAAUAAAUCCAUAGAUAUUAAAUUUUAAGCUACUCACUUGUAUAAAUAAUAUUCAUUUUAUGAGCAAAAGUUGUUAAAAAACAUACGACUUUAUCCGAAGUGCUCGUUCUUUGUUCCCAGUUCUAGUAAGAGUUGUUUUUUUCUCGGCGUUCCUACGAACUUCCUGAAUUACAAAAUAAACCCAUACACCUUGGCGUUUUUUUUCCAAUUCAUUAAUAUUCUUUUCUGUUUCAAAUUUAGAGUUGUGUAAAGUGUGUGGAAGAAGCAAUAAUAUUGUUCUUCAAUCAUUUUCAUGAUUGUAUCUUUUUCUCGCGAAGGAUUAAAUGGUAUAUGUUUUACCUUCCUGAAGAAUGCAUGCACAGAGUCAGAGGGAACUGCAAGCAUCAAGAAUAGUUCAUUAAAUAUUUCUUGGUGACAUUGACAAAUGACAAAAUAGGAAAAAACAGCAAAAAAGGGCAUUGAAAAGAUAUAAGGACAAGUAUGUAUGAAAAGCUAGAGAUGGUAAAAGGAUAUCUAUAUGUUUUGAUAUCGAUAGAGUAAGUCAUAAUGUUGGGUCAUGGCCUUUAAAGAUGUGUUAUGCUACUAAACACCAAUCAAUUAAAUGUUUUGUGGAGGUGGGUCAAAUAUCACAAUUAUGUCAUGUGUUCUUCAAGAGCAAGGUAACCAGUCAAUUAAAUGUUUUGUGGAGGUGGGUUAAAUAUCGCAAUUAGUUUUUUCUAUGCUACACGACCAGCUCAUCCACUCAAUUCUGAAUAUUACAGUAAAAUUUAGUGGAUACGUGUGGCGGUGUGGUUAUAUGUUUUGCACUCGAUGUUUAUAAAAAGGGCUAAUUCACCUUUUGUUUUACCCCUUAAAUGUGCGGAGUGUCAACACUUAUAUGAUUUAAGGAAAUUCGUUUUUUUAACACUACCGCGUUUACAAAAGGAUCACCUGCUUGACAAGGAUGAUCCCACAUGGCAGGCCCGUGGAUGAAUGCCACGAAAGCCAAUGUCAUCAAGAUACUAAAGAAAAAUUAGUUCACUUCAAUAUUAGAAAGUCAUAUCUUACUCACUUUUAAAACUGAGUUAAAAUUAAAAAUUAUAUUUCAACUCGAACUUGUACUCUAUAUUUGUAACAUGCCAAAAUUUUAAAACCCUUCAUAAUGCAUUGCAUUCCAUGAGCAUCAUGUCACCUUGCAUUUCACCACAUUUAAAACCAUGAAAAUUAACUCAGAAAAUCCAAUAACCAAGUUUCUUUUAUUUGAAUCUUGCAUUUACUUCUCUUUUGCCAAAUGGAUUUUUGACCUAUUAGGGUGAUGUUAAUAAAGGUGGUUUAAUGCAUGUUUAUGCUACCCCAUAUUUGGUAUUUGAUUUUGGAUUUUAAACACUACAAAUUUUAUUACUUAUAAAGCCCUAAAGGCAAGUUUAUAGGCAAACGUAUUUUUAUAUAUUUUAUUUUGAGAGAAUUCUUGUCCCAAAAGUUGAAUCAAAUGAAAAUAUGAUUUUACAAAUUUUGUUGCAUUUUAUUUGACUCAAUUUGGAGCUUUGAAUCAAAAGUUUAGUUCAAAACCAGAAAAAAAGAAAAAGGAAAAAAAAAGGGAACCGGACCGACCCUUACUGGGCCGGCCCACCUACCGAAUCGCGCGCGCAGCCCAUCUCCACGCGCUCAGAGCCACCGUCGCUGAUAGGCGGGCCCCACCUGUCAACUUCGUCUUCGUGUCCAACUGCCGGCCGAUUUCCACCUCGAGCAUGACUCCACCCCGCGUCCUCCUCGCCCACGACCCCCAUCUUCUCAACCGAGCGCGUCGGUAUAAAGCUCCUCACCCCCGCAGUCUUUCCCCUCUCUCGCUCGACCGUUUCCACGCCGCCAGGCUGCCCAAUUGCUCGCCGGAGAACCUUCGGUCGCCGCCGUGUUUCUUGGUCGCCGCCAAUUAACCGGUGAGCCCUAGCCGCCAUCUUCUGGUUUUUCUUUCUCCUCUCUUCUUUGCGCACGCUGUGACGCGCUUCUUUUUUCUUCUUGUGCACUGUAACGCUCGGACCGCCGACGACUGAGAGCUCGCCGUCGCCGCCGUCUUCUCUUCGUCCUAGCGUCGCCACCGUCGCCCUCGAGGAAAACCGCCGCCACCAUCGUCUUCGCCUCGCGGAACUGCUUCUUCCCCAAGUUUCUCCGAGCCCCAGAACCCGCCAGAACCCCUCGCCACCGUUCUCCCGAGCCGCCGCCGACCUCGCCGAAACCCUAGCUCGCCGGAGGUAAGGCCGAAGCCUCUCAUCCGUCCGAUCUAAAUCAACGGCCACGAUUAAAUUUCUCUUUAAACCGAACCGGUACACAAAUCCGACCGUAGGAUCUCACAUAAGUUAGAUCCGACGGCCCGUGUUUUAUUUUACUCCUGAACCGGUACCGGCCAAUCACGGCUUGCCACGUGUCACCUGUUUAAUUAAAUGUUUAUUUCCCCGGCCGAAUUAAAAUGGAAAGCUUGCAGAAACACCCCUGGAUAUUCAAAUGAUCAUAACUUUUAAACCUUUUGGCCAAAAUUUAUGUUCUGCACCUUUCUGGAAUCCUCAUGGCAUGUAGAUUCUUUUGGAACUGUUCAAAUUUGCAUUUGAAUAACUUUAACAGAACCAAAUUACAGAAUGUUUAACUAUGGUUUGUAAUUCAUAUGAAAUGUUUAAAGUGCUUUCCCUGUCCAGUAGGAUCAGAGGGAGAAUUAUUUUUGUAAAAUAAUCUUGCGAUACCAAACUAUUUUGUCCAUACCUUCUAAAAUACUCAUUAAACUAUUAUUAAAUCUUGUUUUGGUUAUUGCACAAGUAGUACCUUCUUAAUAUGUUAUAAUCUGUCCAAUCCUUUGAAAAAAUUCUUUAAAACAGAAACUAAAUUUGUGAAUACUAAAACGAAGCUAGGAAUGCAUCAUGGUAAACUUUGCAUCAUGGCAUAUUCUUUGUAUUGAAUUGCUUGUUUAUGUGUAUUUGUGCUUGUUUAUUUUAGAUUGUUUGGAGUGUGAACCUUGUUGUUGCGAAGAGUGCGAGAACCACCACAGCUUUGAACAAGGCAAGUCACUUUGAUCAUUUCCCUAAUAUUUUUACUAUACACUAGAUGUUUUAUUAGUUGCAUUAGGAAUAUUAUUUGUAUCUCUAUCCUAGCUAUGAAUCCCAGGUAAUGUAGUUUUAUCCGUGCCAUCACCUUACUACCAAAUUGCCAUCGUCUGUAGAUGAGUGCUAUGCUAUGGUAGUAUUGUGGGAUAAAUUACUACAUCAUGAUAAUAUUGUGGUUAUGGUGAAAAGUUGUGUUUUACUUAGUGUAUGGCAAAACAACUUAAUUUUUAAUGAACCAUCCUGGGUGGGCGGUUUUGAGAUUUUGGAUGUUGUGCGACAUCAGGUCCAUGUCUGUGGGUCCAUUUCUAUGAGUCGUCUCGCCAUGUCUAUGGGAGUGCCUGCGUCGCAAAUUGUGGAAUGCCACCUGGGGUAACUAGAGACUGGACUAGUUUCCUGUUUAGUAGCUUCCAGUACAACCACAUGGUAAUAUGGGCUCUACCAAGAUUGAGUAAGCUGUUUGAACCUGGGCCCGAGGUGACCGUGAUGAUGUAGCCGUGUAGGUGGGAGCGGGUCCCUCGGUAUGGGUCUGGGGGAUUACUUCUGAAAGUCUUGUAAUCGAUGCCAUUGCUACUCCACCCUGAGGACAGCAAGGGAUUAACACGUCGAUUUCUUGUGGUUAAAGUGUACAACCUCUCGAGAGUGUCAAACUAAGUACUUAGCCGAGUCUCCGGUCAUGGACGAUUAUGAGCAGCUAGAUUAGGGAGCUGUAAGGAAAGUCCCACUCACUCUAAUUUCCUAAAAUUAAAAUGAAUAGUUUGAACUUGGGUUUAGGAGCAUUGAUGUGUCUACUCAAUGCCCAUAGUUUAAUAGGAGCAUUGGUGUGUCUACCCAAUGUCCAUUAGUGAUAAAACUAUUUGGUUACAAUGAUAGGACUAAACAAUUAAACUUUUACGCAACUAGCCUGAACUCCACCUUGCCAUAAAUAUGCAUGUACUUGUUAGGUGCUGUUAUAUCAAAUUGUGAUCUUUCCAAUACAUUUAAUGUAUUGAUCCUAGUGGCUCAUUGUUUAAUGAUACAGGAAGUUCUGACGAAGAGUAAGGGUACGUUUUGGUCUUUGGGUUGCGAGCCUACAUUCCAACACGCUACCACUGUGGUGUUGAUGUGGCUCUUGCAUCUUCGUUUUCCGCUAUUGAACUUUUCGUUUUAAUUCCAGCUAACCAUGUGGUUAUGCGAGUUUGUAAGUACUCUUAAAUUUUGGAUAUUGUGUUGUAAUAUUUGAGACACUUGUUCUAUGAUAUUACAUCUUGAAACUGUGUGUGCUAGUGAGUCGAUACAGGGACUAGCACUUAAGCACAGAGAUCGAACCAUUUUAUGGGUGCGGUCGCUUCAAUAUUAUAUAUCACCAAAAAAUAGGAACAAGAAUCACUCUGGGUUGAAGUUAUAAUGGGUGACUGGUGAUUUAAUAUUUAAAUUGUUUGUAUAAUUACUUCAUUUGUUCCUAACAUAAGAAAUCAUGCCGUCAAGUUUGACCAUGUUUAUAAAAAAACAUACUAAGAACGACAAUACUAAAUGAGUAUAUUAUGAAAAUAUAUAUAAUGGGGGGUUUAAUAAAACUAAUUUGGAGUUCUUGAUACAUUUUUCUAUAAUUGUUCGAAUUUGAAGAAGUUUAACUUAGGACAAAUCUAUGACUUCUUAUAUUGGAGGUAUUUUUUUUCCGGUGAGUUGGGGUCACCACAUGGGCCUGACAUGUGGGGUCACCUAUUAGGUUGGGAAGUUUCAGUGAUAGGGUACACGGAGAAAUUAAUAAAGCACAUAUAAGAAUGGGGAAAUAAAAUACUAAUAUUUCUAAGUCGGAUAAUGGUUGACAUUCUGGUCUGACUAGGCAUAAAAUAUGAACUUCACAACAUAUCACUAGUAUGUCUUCGCUAUCCAUGGGAAGUUUUACCCGAACUGAAUAAACAAGAUCGCGAAAGUGUGAGCACAUUUUAUGAUGAGAUGGCUACGGAGAGAAAACCGUUACAAUCGUUUUGGGGCGCAAGUAUUCCGGGCUCGUGUAUCCUUACAUCACCAAGUGACAGGGGUAGCUGACCAAAAGAUAGACCCCAAUUGUAACCCUCUGACCAAUGACAUCAGUAAAGUAGCAGCUAUCCGCAUAGCUUUGACCUCCUUGUAACAGACGCAAAUUCAUCAACUACGAAACGCAGCAGGCUUCCAAUGAGCGACCACUCACAAUAAACUCGUAUAUAUUCGUAGACUUUGAGCCAAAAACACUUUGAGGAAAAUGACCCGGGCACGUGACAGAUAAAGGUGUUUAAAGCUCCUCGACUAAACAAAGCAGCGCUCAAGGCCCCAAUUCUGAACUCGCCGACAGGUUUCGAACCAGCGCAACCUGCGGGGCGAUUCCCAGGAACAAACCGAUCGUAUCAGCACGAAAAACAAAAGCAGGUGAGGCUCAAAAGAGAGAGAGAAGAAAAAUACAAGAGGAGAAGGCUGAACCGCUGAAGAAACAAGCGCAAAGAAGAGUGAGAUCGGGCUACUAGGCAGGAAGGAUCGGCCAAAGCGAUGUGCAGAACAAGAACACAACGAAUCACGAGAAAAGCCCCCCCGCAGCCCCAACCACCCCUAUCUUUUGCUUUCGUUGCUUCGCUUGGACUUUGUACUUGUAUGGAUGAAUCCCCUGCCCCUCUCCCUCUCUUAUCUUAACUGACUUUGGCCGCGACUGACUCACUGACCCCAGCAAGGUCGCCCCCCCAAACAAGUGACGCAACUGGUAGUAUAUACAAGUUGUUUACGGGUAGCGGUGGACUUGGCCGCGCCGCUGCACCUGCGCGCUUUUGCUUUCUUUCGAAGGGGACACUUGGAAAAAGCUGUCCUAUUUAAGCCACGCCUCGCCCGCCGCUCGAUCUCUGCCUUCUCUAGCCGAAUUCAUACACAUCCACCGAAAACUCACAGUCUCACACUCACACUCACAGAGGUGACAGCCAUGGAGACAGCCCAAGAAAGAGAGCUGCUGCAGCUGCAGCUGCUGGGGUGGCCUUUCCACGCGGUGCAGGCUAGCUUGGACGCUAGCACUGGCUACACCUACAGCGGCAGUAGCAUCAGCAGCGGAGGCGGCGACAGCUUCUUCCUCGGAUGGGAGCCGCCGUUCGGCUGCUUCGGGGUUGUCGCCUCCGACGCCCACCUCCAUGACCUCUUCCCCCUCUGUACGUGUGAGAUUGGUAGCAUACACACAUUGCACGUUGGUGCUCUGUUUUCUCUUCAGCUCCGUCCGGGAGGUGAAUUCCUCGUUUGUUUGACUUGCAGGCUUGGAGUCGCUGCCGAUGUCGCCGGCGUUGUCGAUGGCGGCGGCGGCGGCUCUCCCGACGGAGCCCCAAGGCGCAGUGACGAUGCCCGGGGAGCUGGACGAACUCCUGGUACUACAUCCUUAUGUUUUGCUUCUUCCGAAUUAACUGCGGCGUGACGGCGUCGGGUUCUUUUCUUCCGCAAGUUCUCCGGUGAACCGGGGUCGUGUUAAAACUUGCUGAAAACAGUCGCUUUCUCUUGUGUUUCCGCUGCAGAAUUUCUGGGACGGCGAUGCGAGCGAGAAGCAGCCGGCCGCAAUCAAUUCCAGCUGCGUGCCGCAGCUGCACCUACACGAGAAGGGCAACAACAGCAGCAGCGCUGCCAUAGCCACUGCCAGCUCUUUUCUCCUGUGUAAGAAGUUCGAAUCCGAACUGACUAAUUCCCCUUCGUUUCGUUCGAUCAGGUCCGUUGUUCAGCUUUAGCUAGGCCUGUUUUUCUAGGUCCGUCCUUGGCCCUGCCCGCAUCAUCACCAAGGAGGCAAGGACAAAACACAAAGUCAUAGAGGUCGCAUUUAAUUAUGAAGCUUGUCAAUGCCACGCGAGUGCGUGGGUGGGGCCCGCUAACAAAAGAUUAGCAGCACCCAAUUGUUAUGACCUGAUGACGACCCUAUGAUUAGCACGAUCGGAGUAGGAUUAUACUACUACUCCAGUAAACAGAAGGAUUGCACUAUGAGUAAUACUAUUAUUGGAGACUUGAGAGCCGGGACAGGCGCUUCUUUUCAAGUAAAGACACGUCCGGGUUUUACAUGCUUAGAUGGUAGCGCUAGUGCUUGCUGCCCUGAUUCUAAUCUUGUGCAGUACUACUCCUGCUGCUCCUGUCAAGGUCGCACCUUUUACGUGAUUAGCUCAUUAUUUUAAAUUUUAUCAGUACGUGAACAAUUAAUUAAAUCGAUUGAUUUCAACACUGCUGCAGACGGCGAUGAUGAUCCUUUGAGCUCGAUUUUCUCCAAGGGCCCCGUCUUUACACCGGAGGAAGAAGCCGUGUUCCAGGCCCCAGCGCCGGCGGCGGAGCCCCUCGCCAGCUCCUCCUCCUCCUCCAGCUGCCACGCGGGCCCACGUGCCAGCGACGCCCAGCAGCCGCAGGACGCCGCCGCGCCGAGUGGCCCGCGGGCCCCCCGCUGCUCCACCUCUGCCUCCUCGUUGAAGCGCGCGACACCGGAAGGUGCUUUGCCAUCGAUCGACAGACUUCGACACGACACGCACGCACACGCUUCACAGUCACAUCCACUCAACAACAAUCCCCAGAUGAUUGGUCACACGAUUACAUACUAACUUUGAUUUGGCGUUGUUUGUUGUGUACUAUCAGAGUCGACGGAGGCGGAGUGCAGCCAGAGCAGCAGCGUCGUGAAGCGGCAGAAGAAGGCGGCGCCGGGACGGGUGGUAUGCCCGUUCGCGGUGCUGAAGCCGGACGGGCUGGACGGCGGCGCGACGCUGGCGGACAUCAACGCGCGCAUCCUCAUGCGGCCGGCGCGCCCCGUGCGGCACCCCGUGGGCGAGUACGCGUGCGCGCCCCGGGUCCUCGCGCGCGACGCGCCGGGCAUCUCGGGCAAGGCCGUCGCGGGCUUCACCAGGCUGCACACCCCCGGCCGCGGCACCAUCACCAUCAUGAGGACGCGAGGCUGAUGCAAAUUAAACCUAGCUUAACUAGCUUGCAUUGCACCGAUGAUGAUGAAUGUUGAAUUGUAGAUUAGCCCCGCUCAGUAAUGGAGGGAUAGCUAGAUGCUCGCUAGCUAGUUACUACUAGUCGGUAGUAAAUGACUCUACUACUACCUGUGCCAAGUUCCAAUGCCAUGUAAUUAUAUGAUCGAUUACAUAAGGAAUGAAUAAAAUUCUUCCUUUUUGUUCCGGAUUUAGUAUUUUUGAUCUUCAGCUUGGGGAGGCUCUGAAUUCUGGUGGACAGCUUUUCCUCGGAUCGUCGGUUGCCGGCCGUAGCAGAGCCGCGGACAAAGCCGGCUGGUGCCUCAUGCUCCUGUGCUCCUAAUAGGCAAACAGGUGGUGUUACGGCUGCUUACAAUCACAAAAAGCUGAAAGCAACUAGCUUUCCUUUUGUCCGUGGGCCUGCUGCUUCGUUCGAGUAGCCGCCGCCAUGGCUGCCUCAUGCAAUGCAUGGCUCCCGCAGAGAAGAAGAAGAAAUUCGACUUCACUUGAACAUGUUCAUAGCACAUUAAUUACUACGUGCUAGAUCAAACAUAAGGAACUUUGUUGCAACGCACACCCUCGAGUCUUUCGCUGUGCUUCUUAUUUUCGUUUUAUAAACACUGUUCGGCAAAGAGAAUACACGAAAGGACAAAGACGGUAGAGCAGGACAGAAAAAAGAAAAUCACCAAAGUAAGGCGAGGAGGGUAAAAAGAUUAAAAAUAAAAAUAUAAAGAAAGAUGAGAGGAGAAAGGAAAGCAUUUUAUUUGAGGAAAUAAAAGGCACGGGGAAGCACCUAAAGCAAAGUGUGCAACGGCUUCAUCAUUGUGGUCACGCAAAAGCAGAGCAAAGCAUGGCCGCUGGGCACUGUAGAGCAUACGGCAAAAACACAACGCUAAAACAGAGCCGGUCUUAAAAAAAGAGGGAGAAAUUUCGCCGUUCCGUCAUUCAAAUGAAUCGAGUGGCUGCCUGUCUGGUAAGAAAAAAAGAUCAGGCUUGCGCCGUGCACAAGAAUCCAGGAGUGAUGAUGCAUGCGCCAAGUCAACAGAGCAGUAGAAGAUAAGUAAAAUCGGUAGGAUGCAUGUCUGUUUGUUCGUGGGAUUUGUAGGGUACAGAUGGAUCUUGGCAAAAUUAGGACGUCAGGUGUGAUGAUUAUCGUCGUGGCUCAUGAUCAGGGCUGUGGUCAAAGCGGCUUCCGUGGCUGCCAGAUUCAUGACAUGCAUCAAUCAAACGGCGUGGGGAGGCUAUCUUGUUAGCAAGCAUGUGUGGGGCAAGUGUUACCGAAGUUAGGUCCAGCAUGCACCAACUUGAAUUAAAAGCUGCAGACAAGGUAAGCAGUAGGAUGGAAGCAGCCGAUCGUCGAAAAAAAUAUAUGAAGGUUUAGUUUUUAAGAUAUGAAAUUUAUACCACCAAAGCUGAAAAAAUACAUGAAGGUUUAGUUUUAAGAUAUGAAGGUAAGUAUGAGCCGGUUUAGUUGGGAAAAAAAUGAAGGUUUAGUUUGAAGAUAUGAAAAGAAAUAUUUUUUUCAGGUUUAGGUUAUAUCUCCGUCACCUGAUUUUUAAGGCAGUCGGCGUAUGAGAAUUGUUGGAUUUGUAUCUAGACACCAUUCCACUCUCUUUUUCUCGUCGUUUGUUCUAAAUCUUAAAGCACAAACCAUAUCCAAUGACUAAAAAAUCGAAUUAGAAAUAAGCGACUUAGAUAUAGCAAAAUUGUAAUUAUAUAUCUUCUUCGGUAUUAAAGUAUACUGAGAGUAAAUUUCAAAUGCCAAAUAUCUACGUGCUAGAGCAAGUUGCUCCAGAUCCAGACGUUCAAUGCUGACAAAGAAGAGAGCCGACAUGCACAACUCUUUCCAGUUGACCUACCAACAAGCGAUUGUUCAUUUGAUGGGCCAAUAUAUAUCCAACUAGCUAGAUUGUUACGACAUCUCUUUUUUUCUCGAGAAAACGCAAAAGCUUUGCGUCUCGAUGCAUUGAUAGAAAUAAGUUUAUGUACAAGACCAUAGAGGGCCACACCCGAAUUACAACGCGACGCGCCUAACUAGAGACAUCCGGUAGCAACGCGCCGAGGCUAGCAGCGCCCGCAGUUGCCCAGCACCUAGCAUCAGCCUUGAGCUGGUCAAAGGGGGAGGCGAAGUUGGGGGUUGCAUUGUCGAAGACAGCGGCGUUGCGGUGCUUCCAAAUAGACCAUGCCGUUAGCAUGAUCAGGGACGUUGUACCCUUUCGCGUGGUAGGAGGGGACGAGCGGAUGGACUCCUGCCACCAAGUCGCAAAAGGAACGCCAGCGGUCGGCGGGACGCAGGUGGAGCGGAUCCACGAGAGCAUGCCAAAGGACGUGGGAGAACGGGCAAUCCACAAGAAGGUGGUUCAUGGUCUCCAAGGUCUGGUCGCAAAGCAAGCAGCGUGGCGCAUGGGACAAGCCAUGACGUGCCCGUCUCUCAGCGGUCCAGCAACGAUCCAAUUCAGCUUCCAGGAAUCAGAGAUAAUCCCACCCUGAAAGAGGGCCCGAUAGCAGGAUUUGGAAGAGUACUGGCCGUUCGUGGCCCAGCUCCAGGAGAGGGCAUCGGGCAAGUCCGAUAAGAAAACGGUGCGGGCCCAACGCUAGACCUGGAUGUACUGCCAAAGAGCCAGCGGCCCAAGGGCCCCCUGGAUAUCGUGGAUCCAACGUCGAUCCGUAAGGGCCUCACAGACCAUGCGGGUUUUCCGAAUGCGCCUCGGGACAAGGAGGUGGAGGUUCGGAGCCAGCUCAGAAAGAGCCCUUCCAUCCACCCAACGGUCUUCCCAGAAUAGGGCCGUGGCCCCAUUACCGACCACCAUCUUGGUGGAGGCGAAGAAGAUGCUCCGCUCCGCGGGAGAGAACUGGAGGUCCAAACCACGCCAAGGUCGAAGGAGAUCAGUCUUCAUACGCCAGAGCCAGCGAGUGCGCAGACUGACAACCAGCCUGGCGAGGUCAGGGAUACCAAGUCCACCAUACCACAGCGGCGCAGCAACACUUCACCCAGCUGACAUGGCAGUUCCCAGCCCUGGCCUCAUCCCGACCCGACCAGAGGAAACUCCGCAUGAUCUUCUCAACCCUCUUCUGCACCUUACGGUAAAGACCCAACACAGUCAGCUGGUGUAGAGGCAUGGCAGACAAGGCUGACUUGAUCAAGAUCAGGCGUCCUGCCCCUGUCAUCAUACCCGCCUUCCAAGACGGGAGGCGGUCCGCAAUCUUAUCAACCAAGCAGUCGAAGGCCUUAGGAGACAGCUUUCGCAGUGCCAACGGAAUCCCGAGAUAACGGACCGAGAAGGGGGCAAGCUGGCAGCCCAUCGUGGUUGCCGCCUCCACAGCCUCCUCAUCAGAACAACCAAUCGGAGAUAGGGAGCAUUUGGUAAAGUUGAUGCGCAGCCCCGAAGCAUGCCCAAACAGGUCAAGGAUGCGGCGGACCGCCAUCAACUCCAAGCGAUCUAGGUGGCAAAACAAGAUCACAUCAUCGGCAUAAAGAGAGACGCCAGUAGACAACUGGCGAGUUGCGAGAGGUCGGAGGAUUCCCAGCUCAAAGGCCUUGGAGAGGAGCCUGUUGAGCGUGUCUAUCACCAACACGAACAACAUGGGUGACAACGGGUCCCCCUGUCGCAAGCCCGUCUGGUGCCAAAUCGGCGGACCCGGCUCCCCAUUCAGCAGGAUGCGGGUGCUCGCAGUGGACAAGAGGAUAGCGAUCUACUCGCGGAAUCUAGCCCCAAACCCCGCAUGCCGCAACACUGCAACAAGGAGGGCCCAAGAGACAGAAUCCAAGGCUUGGGCAAUGUCCAACUUAAGCAUGAGCCGGGGCUCCCGAAGCCGAUUGAGGAACCGGGCCGUCUGCUAGACCAACAUGAAGUUGUCAUGGAUGCACCGAGUCUUGAUGAAGGCACAUUGGUUGUCCCACACCAGAGUGCCCAAGCUCGGGGCCAACCUACCGGGCAAAACCUUAGCAACCAACUUGGCGAAGAAAUGUAUCAGGCUAAUAGGCCGAUACUCCUUCAAUGUUGCGGCGUCCGGUUUCUUAGGAAUAAGCACCAGUAAAGCCUGGUUCAAACCUUGGAAACGGCGCCCACACAACGAAUGAAGUUUGCCGAAGGCAGCCAAUACAUCAGAUUUCACCGUAGCCCAGCAUGUCUGGAAAAACUCAGCAGUAAAGCCGUCAGGCCUUGGCGCCUUGCCAGACGGCAUGUGCCUAACCACCUCCCACACCUCCUUCUCCGUGAAGGGGGCGUCCAGGUCAGACAGGUCGGCUCGCCUGGAAUCUAAGAAGUCCAGAUCCAGAGAGAAUUGACGAUCCUCCGACUCCCCCAACAGGGAGGAGAAAUGGUCAAACGCCUCCUUAGCCAUACCUGUGUGAUCGGAAAUGACCGUGCCCUCAACCGACAGGCCAUGAAUCAGAUUCCGCUGCCGCCGAAAGGAAGCGUGCUGGUGGAAGAAAGCAGUGUUAGUAUCUCCCUCACGCGGCUAGGUGAUCUUGGCCCGUUGGCGAGCAAUAGUGCGCUCGAGCGAGGCAAGACCCAAGUAGGCCAGCUUCAACUUAGAGCGCAGUGCACGUUCCAGUGCCGAGAGCAGCCUCGUCUCCACGGCGACAUCCAGGUGGAAAAUGAUCUCCCGCGUCACCAACAGUUGGCGUUUAACGCAACCAACCUGUUUGUAACGCCUUGCGGACAGUUUUAGGCGAGCAACCAGCCGUCGAAAAGGAUCCGUCUCUGCAAUGUGGGAAGCCCAUGCGUUAGUCACCACCUCAGAGAAACCCUCGAGUCUAACCCAAAAUUUCUCAAAUUGGAAGCGCCUGUGGCCGCAAGGACGUGGCGAGCAAUUCAAGUGAAGAGGGCAGUGGUCGGUAACCACCGUCGAGAGGCAUCGCUUCGAGCAGUUAGGGUGAAAAUCCUCCCAAUCAACCGUGCAGAAGACCCGGUCAAGCCGCACAAGGAUGGGAGCCUCCUGCUCAUUAGACCACGUAUAGCGGCGACCGUGCAGGUAGAUCUCCUUCAGCUCACAAUCAUUUAGAAAGCGACGGAAUCGUCCCAUCAUGGUACGAUUCAUAUUUCCAUUGCUUUUGUCCUCAGCUCACAAUCAUUUACGACAUGCGUUAAUUCCCUCUAGCGAAACGAUUUAAAGGACUCGUGACAUGGCGUUGAACAAACUUCUUUCCCUUCACGAGAAAUCAUUCGGUCCAUAGGUUUGGUGGGCGCGCGAAAUCUCACGAGUAGCUACUGCCACACCAACAAAUUGGUCUCUCUGCUUUAACUUGUUGCAAAGAAACGUGCUUUGAAUCAAUGCGAAUUGAUCAACUCUGACAAAAAUGCAUGCCCAGUUUUAAGCUGUUGCUACAAGGGGCUGCCGAUAUUACUAAGAUUUUAGCUAGGCAGUAGAACCGACAUCCAUGCUUAAUUAAUCCGUACACAUCAUAAUUUGCUAGCUCUUAAAGAUCUGGUUUCUGAAAGAUGGACGACGACAUACUGGCAUGCAUGCAUUGGCACGUAGUACAGGCAGACCAGGGAAAAAGUCGAGUUGAAUUGGGUGCAUGCACGUUGCUGACAACCUUAGUAGCGUCAACGGGCUGAUAACCCUUGCACCGAAAUUUAAACGGGGGCAUGCAGCUUGAAGAAAUGCGGGGAGUACAAUUAUCGCAAAUCAGUCAGAGAUCAGCCACUGGCUCCCGGUUCCCUCUAGCACUGUUACACAUACAAGUCAAACCUCAAUACUUUUUUUUCUUUUCGAUUUACUUCGAUGGCUACUUUUUUUUUUUGAAAAAGAGGGACCCCCCUUCUGUUUCCAUUUUUUAUUUAAAAAAAAUCGAUGGCUACAGCAAUUUGAAACGGUAGGUAGAGGUGUGUGUGGGUCGGUUAUCUGACCCCGUACGUGCAAAGCUUUACCAGGGAGGGCAAGCAGACAAGGAAUAGAGAACAGAGAAAGCGGUGGCACGAGGAGACACGGCCAGGCAUUGCGAGCCGAUCGAGAACCAGCAGUGUACCGUGUACGCAUCUGCGGGUGUACGUACGUAGUACGUGUAUCUGCGGGAGUUGCAGCACAACAGAUCUGUGUCGAUCGAAAGAGACGGACGUGAUAUGCAGGCAGAACCGCAGAAGACCCUAGCGGCCCACAAAUUAGCAGCUGGCGACUUUAUACACAGGUCUCGGGGGAGACGACACUCGGACAUGGAUCGGUUCGGUCGGUAUGGUUUCAAUGCUAUGCACGCCGGCGUGCCUGUCUGGCCGUACAGGUUGACGCGUAGUAGGGGAUUGGAAAACUGUGUUCAAUCAUUUAUACGAGGCAAAGCUUUUGCAUGCGUGCCCCCGGUUUCAAAACUACUCCAUUUGCUUGCUUAUAUUUACUUCUCGUGACAACAUUUAGGUGGCGGCCUACCGAGGUUGGUGGUAGCAAAGCAAUCUUUCUUGCCGCAGCUGCUCCAGUUUAUGUAUGCCAGCCUUGCGUGUCCCCCUGACUCCUGACCCUGAGACGAGACGAGGAAAUGAACUGCGGGUCAAACGAUCGAUGUCAAAAGCUGAGAGGCGGCGGAGAUGCUAGCAUGGACAGAGAUAUCAAUUGGCGUCCUUCAUCGGUGCUUAGGGAGCAGAAGUGUACUUAUAUUUGCAGCGUUAUUAGGGAGCAGGACAACAUGCCUGCAAAGCAAAAAAAAAAACUAACAAAAUGUGGUGUGGUGUAUUUACCGCUCUCUGUCUUAAGGGGGGCGUCAGGUGGUGGCGCUCUAGCUAGUGCAGAGUUCACCGGGAACGGAAUCUGGCAGACAGUAGUGAAAAAUCAUAAUUGAGAAAAUGCGGUGGAAAUCAGUAGUGCAUCAGAAACCGGUAAUAAAGUGCAGUAGAAAUCAUUGUAAAUUUGGGUAGAGAAAAAGUAGAGUGGAAAACUGCAGCUGAGAAAGUGCAGCAAAAACCAGCAGAAACUAUUGAAAAAGUGCAGUGAAAACUAGUUACAAAAUUGCAAUUAAAAUAGUCAGUAGAAGCCAAUGAAUAAGUGUAGUACAGAAGGGAAAAAAAUGUUGCAAUUGAGAAAAUUUAUGGUAGAACUUAGUGCAAAAAGUGUACUACUAACAACAGUAAAAACUAGUGUAAGAUAUUAAAUUUUAAGACAAGAAAAUACCAAACAUAUAGUAUAUUAGAUGUUCUAACAAGAAAGUUACCAUAAACAGAAAGUGUUUACAUAAAUUUUUUAGGCAGACGAACUUCCUAUUAGUAUUCCUCUUAUGAAAUGAAUAAAAUACACCGCUAAUCCACGAACUCAACAAAAAAUGAACACUUUAGUCCACGAACUCGAAAAACGCACACUUAAAUCUCUAAAUUGGAACUAUUGUGUCACUUUAGUCCAAACACAGUUCAUCGAGGCUUAAGCCACGUGGCCGUCACGUCAGUUUCGGCAAAGACCGCGGGCUGCUACUCGACUUUCUUAGGAUUUUCUUUUGCAAAAUCACCAUGACCGAGCGCCCGCAAGGGGCAAGGCGGACACGCCCAAACGGGGAUCCUGGGGCACAAAGAACCACGUUGUUGCAUCCGCCGCCUCGUCUAAGGUUGCUAUCAAGCCCAGAAUACUCAAUUUUGAAGAGAGGACGCCGCUGAAGGGGUCGCCGAAGGCGGCGUGGUGGCCAUGUGGCGUGAUUAAGCCUCGCGGAACCAAUUUUGGACUAAGUGACACAGUAGUCUCAGUUUCAGAGUUUAAGUGUGUAUUUUCUGAGUUCGUGGACUAAAGUGUUCAUUUUUACCGAGUUCAUGGACUAAUGGCGUAUUUUACUCUUAUGAAAUCUACAUGACAUACAUGAUCGACAAUUUGGCACGGACUAGCAGUACUGAACACGUUGUUACAUUGCAUAUGACAAUUAAGUGAGAUUGUUUCAUUCACUAGUUCACAAUUACUUAGUAGAAAACCAAAUAAAAACUGUUACAACAUGCUCACAAUAGUAUCAGAGAAUAAUACCAUGCCGUCUCGGUUACACUAGACAGAUGCUACCGAAGAGAAGAACAUUGUUGAAGUUCUCUGCACAUGUCAUCGCCGUCACACAUCACUCUUUUUGAACUGGCAACUUUGACUUCACGAUGCAUGAUCAUGCAUCAACGAAACUUUGUUGCAAUAAUCGCACAAAGUUCACUUCGGCCCAUGUCACCAGUGUCGGCCAUCUACGUAGACGUUUGCCAAGUUUGAUUCUGACAACAUGCUUCGAAACAGAAAUAGGCAAGGCUCCCGUGGGUUAGGACCAACUAGACCGUCCAACGUCUCAUUUGCUUAUAUUUAUAUAAGUUCUCUUUUUUGCCCAUCGCUUGUGAUUGUCACCGUUUGGACAAUGACAAGCUCCUGGAUACGCCUUCCUCUCAAAGAAAAAAUAAAAUAGUUAAAUCUCAGUCAACACACUUGAACUGUUGGAUUACGAUUUGGGUGUCACCUCCACUCCCUCCUCUCGCACGCGUUGCCGUUGGGUUAAGAUACGACGGCCAAACUCGUUGACUGAUCUCUCCAUAUCAAGACCAAAUAAAAUUCCUGGCUAUGACUAAACCCUGACACGCGAAACUUUUGAAAUAAAACUCAUGCAACGUACCCGAUCGAUUGCAAGCAAAUAAAGCGCUCACCAUUAUUCUGGGGAACACACGGGUACGCGCCCCGCAAUCAGCGCACGUUAGCACGUACACACCCGGAAAGCGACCCGCCAAUCCGCCAUGCGCCCAUGCAUGCAGUGCCGAUCGGGUCAUGCCUUGCAAGGACUUCGAAGCAUAUGUUGAGGUCGGCUACGUCUGAUGAUCGAUCGGAAAGGAAAACCUCGGCUCUCUGGGGCCUCUCCAGCCCUCAACAGGCCGGUUGGCCGGAUCGACUCAUCUGAAAAAUGGUGAUCGAACUGAGUACGCCGCAUAGGUCGAGAGUCGAGACGACCACGUACGAGCCCACGACAAACAUGGACUCUGAUGGGUGAACUGCAGGUGGCACUUUCAUGUUUCGUACGUGCGCGAUAAUGCGUGGUGGGCAGCCUGAGACGCAGUGGUGGAUAUGUCAUGUCGGCCGGGCCAGGCGCCGUGGACGUUCUCGGUUGUUGUUCGUGCGGCCGGCCGGAAGUGCAUGAUUGCGCACUCUGGGUCGGAAUCGGCUGGGCGUGGGGUCCCGGCGAGUGUCGCCGGCGCUGCUGCUGAUGAGUGACGACGGGUGACACGACAGGCCUGAUGACUUCGUUUCAGCUAAGAACAUGACUCCUUUUUUCUAGCCCAUGCAUGCGUGCGUACGUACGUGCCACACAUCGGCCAUGCCAUGCACGCGAACUCGGCGACUCCACUAGUCCACCGCGACGCGACACUGCCUGUGGCUGAAGAUCGAGAUUUCAAACGAAGCAGCACGUCCCGCCCCAGCCUAGCUACUACGGAGUAUAGUACUUUUUUGAAUGGGGAGUGAUGGGCUCAACCUGGCUAGCUAGCUAGAGUACUGCAAAGUGCAAACGCAUGCAAAUGCAAACUGGCGUACUGGCACUCUCGAAGGCCAGUACGUACUCCAUCCAGCCAUGGACAAGCCUUGGGCCCUCCUCUCCCGCUUAGCCCCUGUGACGCCUUUCAGUCUGUCUGUGUCCGGCCGUCGAUCGAUCGAUCGAGCUGAGCCGAGCAGAAGAAUGCCAAGAAGAUAUAUCGCCCGAACCGCAGCUAGCUAGCCUACGUGAUUUUGGUACAAUGAUUGGCGAUUCGCUUGCUACGGCCGGCUGGCACUGUAUAAAUGGAGCUGCACGGCGCAGACUGCUGACGAUCGAGCUGGGGCGAGCUGCAUAUGCGACGACGAUCUCUGCCUGCUCUUGUUGGCAGGGGCUCAUAUAUAUGGCCUGUUGCUACACUGAGAGCGUUGUGAAACUGUAGCAUGCAGGUAUCCGCUGUGUGCCUUUCCUACUACUCGUAUGUUACUCUGACUUCU